UUUUUUUUUUUUUUUUUUUGUGAAAUUUUAUAUUGCGUGCGUGCGUUGGAAGGGUAAUUUGGUCAAUUCAUGAAAUCAUCGGCAUCGCGCACAACGUGCCAAAUUUAAGCCCAAAACUGGGCGGUCCAACCCAACCCAAUUGUACUUGAUUGAGAAGCUUGUGACAGACCGCAUUCCCCACGCUACUCGAAAGGCCUGUGUUUCCAUCCAAAUAUUGGCCGCAGCUCCUAGCUCCGUACAACGUUCCAUUUGAAAGAAAAAUGUCUUCGAACUGAUUUGUUCCGUUCUUCCCAUCUUCAAAACAAGAACAGCGUGCAAGGCCAAAAAAGAAGAGAAAAACAGAAAACUGAAGCCAAAAAGCUCAGGAGAGGAUACUUCUUCUUAGCCCCAAAAAAUUCAGUUAACCCGCAAUUUGAUUUGAGUUCUGCAUCUCAAGAAAUCCAAUUACAACAGUAAUGUAGACCCAAAUUGGUACUCCAAUCAAUUUGUUGAGAGAGCUCCCAAAGUUUUAUGCCGAAGACCAUCAUAUUUAACCACCGCUACAAGCAGCCAUAAUAUGCGCUCUACCAGCGCCAACCAUGACCACCUAUUCACUACUAAAAAAACACUAAGAAGGGGGGGCAGCUUUGUUACAAGAGGCUAUGUUAGCACAAACCAUCAUUGCCUACUGGUGGUCGCACCAUAAGUCAAAGAGUCCCUCUCUCUCUCUCUCUCCCCGUUUCAUUUACAACAACAACACAUAUAUACAAAAAUUGCCAUGUGUUGAUUGCAGCAAUUGUAUCAUCCGCGCGUCAGGUCAAUCUCUGUCUGGGGAUUCCUCAAGUCUGGCCGGGAAACAGGAGGCCAACCACCUGCUCCAGAGUUUCCUGUAGGAUCCUGACCAGGAGCACCACUACCCAGUGCUGAUGACUUGUCUUCAGACUUGGGUACUAUGCUCUUGUCAUCUUUAUCACUAGCUUCUGAUUUGCUCUUUCCCUUGGUACCACCAUAUACAAAACUGCAGACCACGACCUAUACAACAUCCAAAAACCAACUUAAAUGAAAAUGUUCAUAACCUCGAAAACAAACACCAAGUGAUUAGAACACUCUUUAUCUCCCCCCAUGAUAUCAUCCUUCCUCAACCUCCACGGGGCAGCCAAAACACGAGGAGAAAAGGUAGGAAACACACGUUGAUGCCUCCAGAUUCAUAACAGUACCCACCCACUCGACUUACCAACAAGAUCCCCAUCAACAUAAAAAUUUAGGUAACAGAAGCUGCCAAAAAGAAGGUACUAAGCCGAGAAAGUACCUGAGCUGGGCUUGAGGCUAUAAGCCUACCCCCUAUUGCACCGCCAAUGACAUGCCCAUCAGGACUACAUACAGAUAUGCUAAGACCACCAGUCCUAUUACGAGGGCCACCACUUUCAGCAAGCAAAUAGGAACCAGACAAGCAUAAUAUCUCAAAACGGCCCUGAAAAAUUAAAUAAAAUAGAUGUCAUUGGUUUGCAACAGACACAAAUUCUCAGAGAAGAAAAAUCAUCACUGUUGCCAACAGCAAAGAUUUAUAAAAUUAUAUGACAACUGACACUUUAACCAUUAAAAAACAAUUAUAGACCUGCUAGCACGGCCAUAACCUAGAAAACUUGACGUUGUCCCCAAAAAAACAAGGCAGGGAGCAUUAUAAUUACGUCAUCCAAACAAAGUUUUACGCAUAAGACAAAGCACAAAAUUACACAACUUGAUAUGCAUAGAAAUUUAAGCAAGUCCAUGGAACAACAUGAUUUCUUUUGGGGGGUAAAUAAGCAUUUGUACACAAGGAAAAUGCAAACAAUAAGGCACAUAUUAAGGGUAACAGAAAACAACACACCAACCAACAAAACAUUACACAACAUCUGAAACUAAUCAAGCAUAAAAUCCGGUGUCUGGUAGUAAUCAAGUCCACUAAAGCCAACUGUUAGUAACCAAGUCCUCUAAAGCCAACUGUUUAUGUAGGACAUCUUAACUCUGUGUAGAGAGCAUACAACUUGAUGCAGCAUGAUAGAAAAACACAGACCCAGAGUGUGCACAUACAGGAUAUAUUCCACACAAAUAGCUUUACACAAUCUAUUCAGCUUAGAUAUAAAAGCUAUCCAAUAGAAAACAACAUUUACUAAUUAACUAUUCUGGAAUUGCCAAAAAGUUUGACCAAACAAAAACUUGAGACAAUAAAAAGCUACAUCCUUGUAUUCACAAGUGACCACCAAGUUCUUUAUACCUGCUUUGCAAAGAAAAAAAAAACUCAUGGGCAUGCUGUUUGGUUACUACCCAGAUAAGUACCACAAAAAGCCCAUGUUCAAGGUAGGACUGACAUUUUGUAGGACCCGAAUCCUUUUGACUUCUAAAAAAUGCAGAUUAUAUCAGGGUAUAAAUCAUAAAAAAACCUUUCUUGCUUUCCACUUCCCUCACCCCACAAACACCAAAUGAAUUGUAAGCCCCUUUCCACCACCAAAAUUAGCAUGUGAAAAAAAUCUUUCAGACCCUACAAGAAAAUAGUCAACAGAUAAAAGGCAAUACAUAUGAAAUUUGUUUUGCAAAACAAGCUCAAGCUUGAGGACACUUGACAGAAUGAAUGUGCAUUGUUUUUUUGUAGCUAUUGACAUUGAGUAACAGUACUACGAAAUUAACAUUGGAAGGUGCUUCUAGAAAGAAUCUCAAUAGCCAUCACUGGUUUUUAUCCCAGGGUCUGAAACAAAAGGCAUGUAGUUCUACGUCUAACGUAAAAUAAAAUGAAAAAAGAAGCAGCAACAGAAAAAGGAUUCAUUCUACUCCAUUUAUUUAUGUAGCUGACAGCAUCUAACAGAUGAAAAAUAAAAUUAAGCCAGCUCAACAUAAAAAGGGUUCACUCUUCUCCAUUUAAUCAUGCAGCUGACAGCAUCUACUGGAUGAAAAAUAAGGUCAAAAGACCUCGAGAAGACACAAAUAAUUAUUAAUAAUGACAACACCAAGAAGAAGACACAAAUAAGAUAAAGAUUCUAUCCCCGUGAUAGAGCAGUGAGGCUAGACGAACUGGGAUCAGGUUGAGCAUGUAGAAUCAAAAAAGUUAAAUACUUGGCAUCUAAAUGAACUCAAUUUCCACAAUUUUUCUGAAGUAAAGAUGGUCCACCCCCAAAACGUCAAUCUUUCCACAGAAACUGCUGCAUUUGAAUGAAACAACUUAGGAUGGGGAACAAGAAGAUUCCAUGUUAAUAGCAUGGCAAACAUAUUAUAGUGCAAAUGAUAAAAUAUUUUAUUAUAACUACAAAAAGGGUUCAUUUCAAUGUAGACCAUUUUUAAAAUAAAAAAGGCAAAAAAUUCAAAUGCAUGCCAAUAAAUAUGAUGAUAAAUCAUAAACCAUCACAGCAGACUUCACCAAAAUCUCCAUGUGUAUGUUGUAUAUUGCCUGUAUAAUUCGAAAGUUGAACAUCUCUGUCAAAGAUCACCAGCCCAUGGGCAAAAACUUUUACAAAUUAUAAAGAUAAGGUACAAAAAUGCUUCUAAAUUUGAGUAUAAGGCACUAAAAAAGCCUGAGUUUGACCUCAUAUGUUACAGUGCCACCAGAGGUUGUUGGCUGCCGGAGUGUUACAGCAGAUACCGAACCAUUAGCUGACAAAAUGCACAAAGCCCUUGGCCUCUGUUGUGCAAAUGAUAAUAUCUUUGCAGCAAUAUCCUGCAGUCACAUUACCCACAGUUGUUACUGAAGCAUGCAACUCAAAUUAAAGACAUAUACUAGAGAAGUUUUUAUCAACACCAAUAAUCCAUCCACUUAGCAUGAAUGGUCCACAAUUUGUGGCUUUGACAACAAGAUUGCAUCACAACAAUUGUAGUGAAGCAUGUUCUAUCAGCAAGAGUUGCAUGCUUAAACAAGAAUUUUAUAGAUAUACAAGACAACAUUCAGCUCAAUUAGAUUUCCACACCCAAAAAAAUGGAAUAAAACAAAAUAUAUAGAUCUCUAUAACUAGCUCAUAUUCAUACAGGCACCAUCCUCUUCCUUUUAAUCACUUUGAUCUAGAAACACUCUAGAUCAGGAUAGGCAACAUAUAAUGCAUAUUGGAGCGAACCAAUGCAUAUUCAAUACCUCUCCAACUCCAACAUGAAUGACAUGCGGUGUGAAAGCUAGUCCAGCAGUACUAUUCAUCCAAUCACCUGCCACCAAAAAUAAAAAAUAAAAACAAAAACUAUGAGCUCAAGAAAAGGGUGCCAUACUAUAAAAUCACAAUAAUUUAUCAAUGUCUCUUAAUCGGAACAUACAAUUACUAGAAAAGCAAUGCAAGAGGCUGAUCUAUAGGAUCUUAAGUUCAAUUUUGACCAUGAAAACUACAAUUUCAGUUGCAUCUACUACCGAACUAAGUAGCAGAAUAUUCCAUCAAUGUAAUUUUAGUUUCACUAAAGUCAAACUACAAAGCAGACAUAUACGCAUUUAUCAAAGACAUUGUAAGAAUUUGAAUAGGGAAAACUCCAUAAAAGACUCAUACUUUGAUUAAAAAUCGGAGAACAAAAACUAAACUUCCCACCUAGGACUCACGCAAAAAUCCCCAGUAGAAAAGCAGUUUCAGAAAUAAAGCAAGAGCAACCUGAAGAUCCUAUUUUGAAGUACAGUACUCAAUUAACCAACUAAUAAUAGUCUUAAGUCUCAUAUAGGCUAAAAUAAAACAAUGCAUAUAAAUACAACACGAAUUAAUCAAGAAAACAAAAACUUACCAAGUGGAGCCAAUCGCUGUUUCCAUCCACUACCAGGCGGCCGCCCCCGACUUUUUUUGGAGCCCCCAGGCGUGAUUGAUCCCGGGGAUGGCGUAGAAGAGAGGGGAGACAAUCCUAAAGCCAUAUUAGCCCCAGCCCCAUCAGGGCCAUACUUUCUAGGCCUCCCUCUCUUCUUCUUCACAGUUUCAACAGGUGUAACAGUAGAAGCCAUGGACAUAGUAAUGCCAUGAGCAUAACUGGGUGAAGGGUUCUCUACUUGGAAUGCGGAGCCCAUAGGAGCACCACCACCCCCUACAUUUGACUGCACUGAAAUGUUAGGGUUUGUAAGGGUCUUAUAACCAGGAGGUGCGGGCACCCCUGUUGGGGUCAUUGAGCCCCCACCCCCACCGCCCCCAACAACACCAACUCCUACACCAGACCCUGAAUUAGACCCACCAACCCCACCACCUCUAUUGAGGUAAUAUGAAGCCAUUCCUUCUCUUCCAUCCAUGCAUUUACUCAACGAAAUUUAACCCCAAAAGGACUCCUUUUUUUAACCUACUUUGCAAUAAAAUCCACACUUGCAAAACAAAAAUCCACUCUUUGAACAAACCUAGCCCAAAUCUAAAACCGACCCCCCUACAGAAAUCUGACUACAAAACCGAAAUCUUAACAGAGAAAAGAUACACCAUAACUUCAAAAAAUUAAUAAAUUAGAGGAAAAUCAGAACAAGGGUUUAACAUGGGUUUUGGAGAAAUCAUGGGAAAAAAGCAGACAAUUUUGGAAAGAGAAAUCUUCAAGUUAACACUCACCAAAAAAGUGUAAAAGAUGCAGCAAAACUGAAAAAGAUUGAAACUUAAACAAAAUUCUUUAGUUAAAGAUCACGGAAACCAGAGCUAAAUUAAGAAGAAUGCUGAAAACCCAUGGUUUCACAGACCCCCACAAAUGAUAGCUCAAAAUCGAUAGUUCUUGAGAGGGUGCUCAGAUAGAUAAAGAACUAAAGGAAAAAGAAAAAGAAACCCUAGAUUUGAAAUGGGGGAGAGGAAAUGAGAGAGAGAGAGAGAGAUGGGCAGCAUGAGUUUUGGGAAAGAGGGAGGGAGGGUAAAGACAAAAGUGAAAUGAAAUAGAAAAUACUACUGAACUUUUGAAUUAAAGUAAGAGAAGGCUAGGCUUUCUUUCUAAUUUUUUUUUUUUUUUAAAAAAGAAAAUUCAAAAUUGUAUGGUUUAACUUUUAUAAAAUAAUAAUUUAUGGAAAGGGUUUCAGGGGGCGAUUUAGUGAUCAGUGACGGUGUUUCUCUGACUUGAGGUCUUUGAGGGGUGGAGGCCUGUUGGAGGACAGUUGGGUGCACCUAAGGACUACCAACUUGUCCAUAUCAGAAUACUACUGCUACAGUACUGGUACAUGAAAUUUCUUGGGACAGGGUAUCCUUUUCUUGCUCUUUAUUUGAAUCUCUCCACUGCCUUCUUCCUUCUUCUGAUGAAUUUAAUGAGAACUUUCUUUUUGUGGGAUUGCUUCGCGCUGCUUUUUGGACUUGGGAUGGAGCAUUCAUUGACAAGAGACCAGAGUAUGACUGAUGAGAGAGAAGGACGCUUCUUGUGAGUCACCCAUGAGAGAGAGAGAGAGAGAGAGGAGAGAGUUCAGAGUUGAGUCAAAAGAAGUUUGAAAAGAAAGGAAAAAAACAAACAGGGGCUGAAACAUUUGAUGAUGGCAAGAAAUUUGGGCAGUAGUUCACUUCAAACCAAAAAGAAAAUAUGAUCAAUUCAAUUCCCCAUCUCAUAAACAGUUGUAAAAUCAAAUAUAAACACUCGCUCAAGUUUAGAUCAAGAAGAUUUCUCACAAAACAAAACAAAACAAAAAAAUUCGACGAAUACUUGUACUAGCAGUCCGAGAUAAGCAUAUCUUGAUUAAGAACAGCCAUGAUUUGACUGAAGAAAGGGGUCAUGCUUUUUCUUCUUGUACUUGUUGUUGGAGGAGCUCUCUAUGCUAUUGCGAAUGAACUAUACAUUUAUUUCGCUUAAUUGACAAAAGAAUAAAAAAUUUACAGUUAGUUUGCUAACGAGUAAUUAUGAUGAUCCUAGUCAAAUUCGUUAUGCAAAAGAAGUCAAAACUCUUUUGAUUAAAUAAAAUAUAGCUGCAAAAGUAGGUAGCCGAAGGAGAGAACAGACGUUAUCCAUCCCUCUGCCAAACAUGCAAGAAGUUCGACAUUUUGGAAAUUGUACCGGGAAGAUUCAUUUUCCCAAUUCAAAAUUGCGUCAAGCACUCAUUUUUUUCCCCAAUUUUAGUACUCAUUUUGUAUUAUAGAUAUAUAGACUAGCUCAUUUCUUCUGUCAAAUUUAUUAGUUCAUAUUUUGUUGAGCACAACAUGAGAAUAGUUCGGGUCAGCAGGGGUGGGCAAAAUUAUCCGUUAACCCGAAAAUUCAUAAAAUUAGGAUAUUCGAUUUUUAUUAUUUGAUCGGGUCAAAAGAGAGUCGGAUACCGCUAAGAUGCGGGACGGAUUACGGUCACAUAAUUAAAAACUCGCGGGUACCCAAUCCGCCCCGCAUAUAUAUAUUUUUUAUUUUUAUUUUUAUACACACACUAUAAAAUAAUAAUUUAGAACUAAAUAAGUAAUUUUAUUGAACAAAUUGCAUUACAAAUAUGAGAGACUAUAAUUUAUUUACAAUAUUCAUUUGUAGAGGUCAUGAUCUUAUAUUUUAUAGAAAAAAAGUUUAAUUAAUGUGAAACAUAUAUAUUAAAAAUUGUAUCACUUAUUUCAAACUUUUAUUGAUUUUGAAUUUUUUACCUUUAUCUUAUAUUUUCUUCACAUGCUUGUUUGUUAGUGAUAGGGCUGCAAACGAGUCGAGUCGAGUCGAAUUUUGAGCUAAUCGAGUCAAGUCUCGACUAAAUUUUAUCAAGCUCGAGCUUGACGAGCCGGCAAAUUUCGAGCUUGAGCUCGACUCGAAUCAAGUCGAGCCGAGCUCGAGCUCGAAAAAAAAUAAAAAAUACUUAUUUUAUUUUUAAAAAAAUAAAUAAAAUAAUAUUUUUUCUUAAUAAAUAAUAAAAUAUUAAGGAUAUAUACGUAAUUUUAUUAUGAAAAUAAAAAAUAUAUAUAUACUAUACGUAAUUUUAUUAUUAAAUAAAAAUAAAAAUAAAAAAUAUAUAUAUAUACCCAAACUCGCGAACCGGCUCGCGAGUUAACGAGCUUAAUAUUCUGAGCUCGAGCUCGACUCGAGCUUGACUCGAGCGGCUCGAUUCGUUUGUAGCUCUAGUUAGUGAGAAACCUUUUUUGAGAAAAAAAAUUAUUAAAUUUUAGAUGAAUGUCUAAAAUAUAAAAUUAAAUUAAUAUAAAUAAUUUUUUAAAAAAAUUAAAUGAUAAAUGAGACGAAACAGGUACCCGCUGACCCGACCUUAUCUCAAUGAGUACCCUAUAAUCGGGUACCCGCUGAUAUACGGGACGGAUAAAGGUCAGAAAAUAAUUGACCCGCAAAAUACAAGUCGAAUCAAUCAAAUGAUGAAUAGAGCGAGUACCCGACCCGUAUCCACUCAUACGGUCAAUAGAGCGAGUACCCGACCCGUAUCCUAAUCCUACAAUCCUAAUGUGAAAUUUUUAAAAGAAUUGACAAAAUCUCUAAGGCCAUUAAUCAGAGUCGAGUGUCAAGUGUAACAUUUAUGUAACACGAAGACAUUUUGUGCUCUGCACUAUCAUAAAUGAUGGGAUAUGGGCAGCACAGUUGACCGAUGACCGUUGACCGCUGCUUUCCAAAGAUGAUAUCUAAUAGACUGUCUUUAUUGUAGUGUACGAGCAGUAGCAUCUCCAUCCAGGCCCAGUCACGGGGGUGCCCGUACCGAACACAAAAUGACACAUGGUCAUCUUAGUCAAGCGUUCAGGCAUCUAUGCUUGCUUAAAAUUUAAAACAUGUACUAUAACAGUAGUGCAUUUCUUUGGUUUAGAAGUGAGAUGUACUCCCCCGAAUUUCCUUUGGCCCAAUUAAACGCCCUAGCACUGAUUAGACACCGAUCUACGUAAAUUUGUCGAAGCUUGAAAGUUUUUCUACAUCAAGAAUUUCACUAUUUUGCCAAGUUAAAAGGGUCCCAAUUUGAGCACUCCAUUACAAUUCUGGUCCUAAUUUGAGCGCAGUCCAUUAUAGUUCUGGAUUAGACCAGUAAUAAUGACCAUAUUUCAUGUAUCCUCCGCCAGUAAGCCAUGCAAAAAGAUCGAAUAUGGAGGCAUCUUCCAUCCCCACCGGCAAAUUGGAAGCACUAGAUAUUUCUCAUAAACUCAGCAUUCAGACUGUAAUAACUCUAUGAUAGCCCCGUUCUUCAGUACUACGCUACAUACACUUGACCAAGUUGCAGAAGGCCUACUGCAAAAGAUGUGUGAUGAUGCGUUCCCACCGAAAGAAUCAGUGCUACUCUUAAGAAAAUCUUACUUGGUCGAUUCUGAAGUGUGACUUCUAUUCACGAAAUCCAAGUACCCCUGUCAAAGAUAAGCACUUAAAUUAGAUCCCAAAAUGAAACAAUGAAACAUCUAAUUCAAUCGCAAACAAAUCAAGUAUAACUAUUGUUUCAUAGCUAAUGGGAAAUAGGACCAUUAUGGUUUAGAUAUAAACAUUCAACAUCUGAAAUGCUCCUAAUUUUACCCAAUUAAAGGAUAUCGCAAUAAAACUAAAAUACACUGCAAUUAUCAAACUGGUAGCUCAGGAAGGUUCCCAUGAAGACGAAAAGACUUGGUAACACAAUACACUGCAAUGAUCAAGGUAUUUUUUUGUUUCCUUUUUUCCUUUAACGCAGGGGAGGAGUGGAAUUUAAGAAGCAGGGAGUGCGAACAGGAAUUUGAACUCAGGACUCUGAUUCCUAAGGCCUCAACCUUAGCCUCUAGACCUAGGCUUCCUUGGCACAAUAAUCAAAAUGGUAACACUGCAGAGUUAUCUGACCAGAAAUUGCUUCUUACCUCUUACACAGGCUAAUCUACCAAACUCAGUCAUACUCUGCAGUUUAUAUAAUCAAAACUUCAGUACAAUGGGAAGAUUAUUGUGACCUGUAGGAUUCCAACAGCAGCAAAUUUGUCCAUUAUUGUCUUAUAAUGAACAGGGUGCAAAUUCAGUGGCUUCAACAGAAAUUCCACAUUCUGCAACGAAACCAUUCACAUUAUUAUUAUUUGCUAAUGCCACCAUUAGAUGAAAGGGCUAGAAAAGAUGAGGCUAACUAUCUACAAAAGAAGAAAGAAGACUAUCAAAUCAGUAAUAUCAAGAUGAAACACAUUUCACAGUUUUGCAAUUCCAGAUCUGAUAGAUUCCUUCAAUCUGGUAAUACAAUCUAAGCAUGACUAUAUCCAGAAUGAAGAUUUGCAUUGCAAUUUUAAGUACCAACAAGGAGGUUGCAAACAUCUAAUGAUUAGGAACCAUUUCAUGCUAUCAACUGCUUCCCUUGAUAAAGGCCAUUCAGUAUCAUAAAAUUACUUCUUCAAUAUCAGCGGUUAGAAGCACCCACCUUUGAAGUAAAACACUCAUCCCAGAAAGUAUACCUUACACCUUCAAGUUUCCCUGUUUUACAAAGAUCAUCAAUAAAAAGCUUCACUUGCACAGCCUGCAGGAGAGAACAAUAAUGAAUCAGGGGAAGACGAGCCAUUAUACUUGUGAAGAGAGAAUCCAUAUCUUUAUAUUUCACUGAAUAAGAUAUAGUUCACUGGAAGAAAAAGAAGAAGAAGAAUAAGAGGAAAACACACAUCUGCGCUGUUCCUCUGUUGUCUAUCAAAAGGAUAGCCAAUUACAAAGCCUGUCAGGGAAAGUUGAGAGAUCUGCAGACAGAGAAAGCAUAUAAGAAAUGAAUCUAAAUUUCAUCAAAAUAAUCUAGAUAUUCAGGUUAUAAAAAUCCACUAUGCAAUUAGAAGCAAGAGUGGCAUCAUAAUCCAUGUAAAUGUGAAAGAUAGAAACUGAAGGAUUGAAUCUUUUGGUUCACAAAGUAUGCAAUUCAUAUUGGUACCUUCAAAAAAUUCAGAAGGAAACAAAAGUGCAGAAGGCAAAAAGGCAAUAUCAUUAGUUCUUUAUGUUUAUUCCAUGAAACAUCUUAAAGUAAAAUAGGUGUAUUCCCCCGAAGAAUAUUCAUAUCAACAAAUUCAAACAGCUCUGAAAACAAUAAAUCAUAAAAUUAAAACAUCUGAAACAAAAUAGUCAUGCCAAAUCUUAGGACUGUGAUCUUAAUUGAACAAUUUACCGUCAAAAGCACAACUUUUCCAUCAGUGAUACAAGUUAUUUUUAAUGAUCAUAGGACUAAUACAACUCACUCCAUCCACAGUUUAAAGCAGCAUCUCAGCAGUAAAAGCAACUUGCCAUAGGUGCUAGCUUAAGGAUGCUUUCAUUCGAGAAGAUAGUGAUGAAUAGUUUCUUCAGUUAAAUUCAGUGAGGCACCUCUAACAAUAGAAGCUUAAUAAAAUUACUCUAACAACCCAAUACCCAAUUGGAAAAAUAAUCCAAAAUAAUCAUCUUUAAGUCAAAAGAUCCAAAAAUAAACUCUACCCACUGUCUUGCUCAGUGCAGAUGAGUUAGUUAAAUAAACAAAAAGAACAAUAAAAAGUUAAUACUAACCAGAAGUUCAAAAUCACUGGCCAUCAAGUCAAUGUUACUUUUCUUCCGUAGCAGAACACUGCAACCAGACGUCAACCAUGUUCAUCCCAUGCAUUGUAAAAUCAUAGUGAACUACUCUACAUUACUUUAAAAAUGUUCUCGGGUCCUCCGACGCAUUCAUUAUAAUCAUGGAAGACCGCAAUUCUUAAGCUCCUAGAUAGGCAAAUAUUACCUGAGAGGUGAUGCGAUUUUGUUAUUUACAUCAGAAACAGCUAAACCCACAUAUUUAUCACCGACAUCUAAACCAAGUAACCGGCUUCUGUUCCGUGAAUUUGUCUUUAUCAGUUCUUGAAACAAGUUCGCGGGCUUCAUGUACUUCAUCCCUGUAAUGCAUCAAAUUCCAUAGUGCAACUUUAGAAAACACCUUCUAAAGUAAAAGGGUAGAUUAAUGAGUUAAUUCAAGAAAAGUAAAGUAGUAGCUAAAACUAUUCUGAGCAGUAAUCAGAAAAAAGAAAAACAACCGAGCAACUUCAGAUAGACAUUUUCACAAACACUUGGUCCACUAGCAUACUUGUUUUAUAAGGGCUUCGGGAGUUGGGACUCUCUCUCUCUCUCUCUCUAUCUCUUCACUUGUGUACAUGUACGUAAAUCGUAGUGUUCGGAAAAGAAGCGGGAGAGAUUUACCUUCAUAUGGAAAAUGCAGCCCAGAGCCUGAAAUUAUACGACCAGUUUUCUGGAGAGGGAGGAUGCACUAGUUGAAAAUCGUUUCUUAAAACAGCUGGAAAAAAAAAACAAAAGAAAUAAUUUCUAGUAGGCCUCUAUGACUAUGAGAUUGAAGGCGACCGACACUAGGCUGAUUGCAAGAGUGGAUCCAUGGGGAUGAAGUGCCCAAUGGGGCAUUUCAACUGGCUCAUUCGCUAGAACCAUGUUUGGGCUGCUAAGGGCCCAAUAGGUCCAAUACGGCUAAUUUCCUCUUAUUUUUAUUUUUCCUUUAUUUAUUUAUCUAUAAAAAGUCCGAUUUGUCUUCGGGUUUAUUUUUGGUUUUCGACCAGGAUUGAAUUACUUGAUUGAGUAGUUUGAUUGGUAUACCGCUCAAAGGAAAAAAAUCGAUUCAUUUGGUUUGACCUUGCCUGUUAUAAUAGAAUAUGCACCUGCAAGUAUAAAUAUAUGAAAUACGUGCAGAACUUCAAAUUCAAAUGCAAAUUAUGACUAUGCAGUAUAUAUCUAAACUCACUAAUAUAUAUAUAUGCAUUGUAAAAAAGAUCGACCAUAUUCAUUUAUGUAUUGAAUUCUUGUAACUACUUAUUACGUAUAGGGGUUUCAACCACUAAGUAUUUUCAAUGAUGAUUGAAAAUGUAAAAUCAAACGAAGAAAGUGCACUAUCAACAUUAAUGCAUACCACGUUACAUAUAGGUCCAUUUGGGAUUGCGGGCGUUUACCCAAAAAAAAAAAACACAUUUAAACACAAAGUAUUUCUAAAGUGUUUGACAACUAUGUAUUUCCCAGGCCAUAACUUACCAGUUUUUGAUAGCUUAAAAACAAUUAUGUAUGAUGAAAAACAGUUUUGGUAGAAGUAGCUCUAUAAGAAGUAUUCGCAACUCCAAACGAAGUCUAAACUAGCAUAGAAAAUUUGAGUUUUGAUUUUUGUGUCCUCAACAUUAUAGCUAACUUGACAUGGAAUGUCCUAAUAAGUCAUUGUUCAAAAAAAGGAAGCGUAAAAAAUGGCCCUCUAUUUUAUUUUCUAUUCUGGGUUAUCUAAAGACUACGAAGUAGAUAAAAAAAAACAAGGAGGAGGAGGGGUCGUGUAAGAAUCAAUUGAAUCAAUUGAAUGAAAUUGAUGUCUAUCAACAAUAUCAGCUAUUUCGUACAUAAAUGAAUGGAGAGAGGCUCUUGAGCUCUGCACGUUUUCGUGCCAGUCUUCUGAAAGGCUUUCGAUUUCUCCACAGCAAUCUUUCGAUACCACUUGCAUGCCUCGAGGCAUCCUUUAUUACUGGCACAUGACUUUUUCUACUGGAUUUGGUGCUUCCUGACUUCUUUCUAAACUCUGUGCGACUUGGAGAAGGCGUCUGGGGCUCUUCCACUCUGCCACUGGUAGAUCUGCUGAAUCAUCCAAGAAAUAGAAUCAACAUAGAUUAUCAGCAUCAGUGAUGACAAACAUCACGAUGACAAAACUAAAGAAUCAAUCGUCUUUCAUUUAUUCAUCAAGGAAUAAUGACAGCUUUUUGCCUGUAACAUCCCAGAGCAACAAAUUGCACAUAUAAAGAAAACACUCCAAAAGCUCCCUCCAAUAAAUGGGAUGUAUUAAGAGCACUAGGGACUUGCCUCUCCUGAGUCAUCGGCGUCGACGAACACGCAUCUUCUCCGGCAUGUGAAUCACAUGCUGGACACAUGUAAGUCUUUGGCGGCGGCGAGGAUAAUUUGAUGCAAUCAAAGUGAUACCAUUCGUCACAAUUAUCACAGGCAAUCAUUGCUCGUUGAUCAUACGGUCUUCGGCAAAUACAAUAAAGCAUGCUUCGAUCCCUCAGUAACUGCAUGAACCGAGCACAAAGAGUGUAAGAGCAAUACAAAAUAGAGGAUGCGACCGCUCAAAAGAAAAAGAGGUGCCUACGUGCUCUCAAACACUUGUUUCUUGUUACCUUAAGUUCCUUUUCACAGACCAAUGGUAGAUCUUCACCCUGGGCAAUUAGAUCAAAAACUUUAUCAAGUCCCAGUGCUCCACCAUCCAUCGAGACCUAUUGACAGGAAGACAAUCAGCAAUUGCACAAUAAAAAGUAAAACCAUCCUAUAAUAUGAUACUACAGCAAUAUGCCAGACCUUCUUGGCUGUAUCAGCCCAUUGCAGGCCAAUAUGCUUCACUUCUGUUAGUCUCCUUGUAAAGUAAUCUUCUGGAGGAACGUCUAUCGCCAGACCCUGGAAAAAAAACAUAAAAUGUCAUCACUUAUACGCCUAUGAUCAUGAAUGGCAUUCUAGCCAUAAUUCCAUGUUUGUGCUAAAGUAGGGCAAUAAUUUUGUAUUUGCACAAAACCAAGGUUUAUAAUAUGUCAGUACAAAAUCAUUGUCAUCUUCAGUAAAGUUGCAAAAAACAUGCUAUAUGAAUAACUUUCAGCAAAGUUGAUAAGCUCCAAUCCAAAGAGGUCAUAAUAGUCUUCAAAUAUUCUAGUCAAGUAUUAGGACCUUGGUAUUCCUGAAAUUUUGUCCAACCCAAUUGCAUGAUAUCUAUUUAAUCCAUGCUUACCACGAGAGUUGAUAUUCUGAUCAUGCUCAUGAAAAUCUCAGGAAAUUGUAUCCCCAUUUUUACGUAAUCAUGCACAACUAAAAACAGCCCAUAUACCAGAGAACACAUAAAUAAUCAUUCAGUUCAUCAGCGCACAAAGAGAGAGAGUACACAAAUGCUAAAAGUUACAUUACAGAUCUCAUGAAACAAUUAAAGGGUUAUACCUCUUUCAAGUGCCUCUGGACUUGUUGCAAUGAGGGCUUUUGUGGACCAUUUAAUAAUUUCUGUGCUCUAACCUUCCAUGAAUUUCUUGCUAAUACAAGCUCAAAUUUGCUGUUGCCCUCACCAUCACAAAUGCCAGCACUAUCUAAUGCCUAUGAAAGAUGGAAACUGCUCCAAUCAGAAAUACACAAAAGAAUACAAGGCAAGGAUACCUUGUAUUUACCAUGACCAUGAUCAAAAGAAGAACUGAAAAAGUGGAUGCUAUCAAAUACAUGGGACACCCACUAACAGAUGUCUAAGCAAAUUAAGUUGAGAAGUUGACAGUAUAAGAUGAAAUGAUGAGAACCUUCAACGCGACCACAAGUUUAUCAGAGAAACCACUGAGAUCUCUGUCUUGAUAAGAUAAUGCAUAAUCUACUAUUUCCCUUAAGCAAGCCCUGCAUUCAAGAGCUUUCUUCACAAUUUGGUCAAGUACACUUCUUUCUUCAAUCCUGUCAAUAGCAUAGCAUUGUCACUGACUAAGUUCAGAUUAUUGCCUUUAUCGUGUAAAUAAAACUGACCUUGACUAAGAAUGAAAAGUGUUUCAAAGAUAUAAAAUAACUUCAUAAAACAACAGGAGACCUGAAAUAGGGAAAAAGGCUAGCCAAAAAAGCACGUUAUACAAUAAAGCUCUCUGUUUGCAGAGUAGAUUAUCUCAGAAACAGGAAAUACUAAGUGCUACCUCUAGAAUAUGGAAGAAGCUCAGGAAAACAGUUUAUCAAAUUUCACAAAAAUUAUGACAUCUAGAUGAAAAUCGAUACACACAAAAAUAAAACACGUUAAGAGAAAUUACCAUAAACAAAGACCCUCAGCAUCUGAUAAAAGCUCAAUGAGCUUAUUCAAAUCAGGACAUUUCCGCCCAAAUCUCUGCACAAUUUUAAAAAAAAAAACACUCAGAAAGGACUUAGCACUGCAUGAACAAACGUGCUUUGACAGAACAUUAUUCGUACCAGAAUGCCACAUCUGCUCCUAGAGAUUUUUCCACUUCUCACAAACAUGCAGUAAGGGCAAACAUAUGUUGUAUCACUUUUUGCAUCUUCAAGUGAUGACCCACUGCACUGUAGGUGAAAACUGUAUACAAUAGCCAAGGGACAAGCUGAAAUCAGAAGUUUUUAGACCUAGACAACUCAUAAAGAUAUUCCUUAUUUAUUUCUAAUGGUGCCCUUCCUCCCUGGUCCCCAGAAGAAAGCAAAUUAUAUCAAUAUUAGAGUAGAAACCAAAUCCCCAAGAAAGAUCAUGAAAAAAUAUCCCCAAACAGCUCUUUUCCAAAGUGAAGCAGGAAUGUUCAGUCAUCACUAAGCAACCGGGAAACUAACCAAUCGUUGCAAAUAUAGCAAUUAACAAGCUUCUGAUCAUCAGAAUUUUGGGAACAACAGAUGCAUAAAGCUGUUGUUUUGCAGCAGUUAAACUUGUUGUAGAUGUAGAAUGAUCUAUCAAGACUUUUCUUUAUCUGCAAAAUGUUUAAGAGAAUCCACAAACAGUUAGAAAUGAAAGCAUAGGUCAGUAAAUUAUUAAACGUGACCAGAGAAGUAUGACAAAGCAUGAAUUAAGUAAACCUCUAAAAGACUUGAAGUCAACAAAUUUGCAUCGCCAGCAGAAGCCCCAGCAACGUUCCUGCAAUGCUGCUUCCACUGCUCUACCUUUUGCACUUCAGCCAAGACCAUGUCCAGUUCUAGGCAAUUAAAUGCGUUGGUGCUUCCAACUUCCUAAACAUGCAUCCAUUAGAUAAUCAGUGAUUAACCACCAUGAGAUAAAAAGCUAUGCUAAAAUCCAACACUGCAAACUCUGGGUACCACCUGAGAGGGUAAAUGGCCAAAAUUCAAGUUCAACUACAAUGCAAGCUUAGAGGGAACAGCAGGUUACCAUGACAAGGUCAUGCCAACUUCCAAAGUUUGGAAGACUACAUGUACAUGCUCAUAUAAGCAUACCUUGCAAAUGCACUAGAUUUCUGAAAGCUAAGCAGAGAAUAAGGUUCAUUACUUUAAUGCCUUUAGUAUCACAUAACAUUGAAAACAAAACAAGCAUAACCAGGUCAGACAGAUGAUGUUACAGAAGCAGGGUACUGCAUGGGAAAAUCCAAGAAGUUUGUGACUGCAAGGAUAGACUCCGCCCCAGCAGAAUAAGAUAAACCAAAAUAAUAGAAUACAUGACUUUUUAAAAAAAAAAUUCAUUUAUGUAUUUUUUUGCGAAUGAUGAGGGAUAGGUAUUUCUGGAAGUUGAAUUAAUCAAGAAACAGUCUUUUUACCUUUAAAUGCAGCAAUGACAACCAUGAUCUAUCACUGCAGUCCUGGUUGAAAAACAAAUGUACUCGCUCCAGCCACAAGCUACAAACAGCCGAGUUCUCAUUAAAGCAUAAACAGAUUGACAAAAACCAACAGAAAAACUAAGAAAGAAUUCAAAUGACAGAAUCACGCCCUCAGAUUAGACGGGGCUGCUUCUCUCUUCAUUUUUCUUCACUGAAGGCAGAUAAUCAAACAGGUUUUUUCUUAACAAAAAAUUGAGCUUAAAUUAUGCGGUAACUUUUUUGCUUAACAUACUUUGAGUUUAAAUUAUGCUAUAACUUAUCUUCUUCAAUUCCUACUUGUUUAAGAAAAAAAUUUGUUGAACAUUAAAAAAAAAAUCCUCCUCAUUAUGUUUAAGUUUGUUUCUACAGGUUUGCAAGGAAAAGAAUUUAGAUGAUGCUGGCCUUAACAUAUCAUUGACUCUACAAUAUCUAAACUAGUGCAAGGCCAAAUGGUGCAAUUGUAAAUGCUUAAAAAGGUUUUAAAGUUUCAAAUAUUCAAUAAAUUCAGAGACCAAGUUCUUCUUCUCUUUCUUUCACUUUUUCCCUUUCGAACUUUUUGAUCGGAAUGGAAAGUGACAAACAACAAAGCAGUUAACUAGGAAAGCAAAGAAUGCUCAAAAUAAAGAAUCAAGCUGAAGACACACAGAGAUGACAAAUUUAAAAGAAAGACAAAGAUGGGGGAGGUUCUCUGGUUGCUGAAAAUGGGGGAGUAAUCCUAAACUGCAGAGUACCGCUGCAUAUCUGUCAAAGCACUGUUUUUAUAAGAAAGUGGAAGUAUAAAUGUAGUUUAGGCAUUAGUUAGACAAUUGCAGGGUGACCUUCAAUCAGAUAAACAAACCUCCGUGAAGCCCACUAGUUUUGAGCAAACAUCUCCAAAAUUUCCAUGAAAGAAACAAAGGAGAAUCCCAAGGGGCAGGAAAAUCAUAAAAGGCUUUCUUGUUGGGCUCACAGAAGUAUCUUUCUAUCCCGGGGGCAGGAAAAGAUAAAAUGUGGUCUCAACUGUUAAGGUGAUAUUGAUAAGACACCUUUAUAGAGCUUCCCCAGGGUAAUUCUUCAGCGAAGUACUAGUAGCAGAAACUCUUUUUUGAGAGCAGGGUCUAAUUUCCUGAAAUAAAUUCUAUGUUCACAAGGCUUUCUUUUUCGGGUCUCUUCACCAUCUUUUCAUUCACCAAACUACCUCAACAGGAAUUAUACUACAUGCACAUUGAACUAUCGCAAGCAACAAUAGUGCAAUUGAUUAUAUCACAGAGAUCAAAGAAUUUAAGAAAUCCAGCUGGUGGAAAACUAUUAUUCUCAUCUAAAUUAUAGUUUCAUGCUUCUAUUCAGAAUUCAUAAAAUAUAAGCUUUAACCUCGGCACAAAAUAAGUACACUAACAAAAUAAAGCAUCUAGACUAUAGCUUUUCUAAUUACAUAUAGCUAAUACACUGUCAAAGGAGUAUGAACAUAAAAGAAACUCACUUGUGUUUCUCAACAGCUUUCUGAAUAUGACCAAUCAUCAAAGGGAACGAGACAACAGUUUUCUGCAAUUUGACACAUCAGAUUAUACAGGGUACAUACAGAAACACGCAUGAAUUGAUUACCCAGAAAUGCAGAAAACACAGAGGUAACAUCCGAACCUAGCAUGAUACCUGAGGUGCAACUAGAAAAUGUUUGCCAUAAAUAUAUAGGGGACAGAUCUAUGAAUACAAGCUUCUACAAACCCCUAGGAGAAUACUGCACACCCCUUCUUAAUUCCCGUUAAAUGAGCCCAGAUGCGAUGGAAAUUGUUUCUAAACGAGGUAGAGAAAUAAACAAGCACGUCAUAUACCUCAGACAGCUCAAGAACUUCCACAGCAUCACUCAACUUGAUCUGUCUACUGCUACAUGGAGGGAGAAUUUCCAAGGCUUUCCUAAGCCAAUCUAUUCCACUAAAUAGUGAGGUCCGUAAAGCACAGGAUGCAAAUGUCACAGGUAGAUGGUGGGAAUCCUCCAAACAUGCCUCAGCUUCCUAUAACAAAAUUUAGAGAUGUAUAACCUUAAUGCAUUGGCCAUAAGAACAUGUGAACAAUAAAAUCAUAAAUGCAAUCUUGUGGACAAAAAAGACAUGUUAUAACCUAAAUAGUAAUCACAAUUCUUGAAAUCUUAGAUAUAGGCAAGUCAUCCAUGUUAAAAGAUGGGGAAUAACCAAAAAGGAAAAUAUGCAUCAUCACCAUCAACCAUGACAUAAUUCAUCAAUCUAAAACAGAAAAAAUAUGACCAACUUUGCUGCUUUUAAAGAUAUGAAUAUCCAAAAUCCAACCUUUUUGAAGGUUUGAGCAAAAACCCAGACUCAACCCACACUUUAGCAGCCACCACUUGGCUCCAGCUAAAAAAAAUAUACUAUUAACAUGCACAAAUUUUUUUUCUCCAUUAACAUUUAAAGUAUCACAAACCUGAAGCGUGGGAAUAACAUUCCAGAAAGAAAGAGCUUUAGAGCACCAUUGAAGCGUAGAACAUGCAUCUUGCAGUUUUGGCAUAGCAGCAAACUCGAAUUUAAGACAUAGACCAGCUUGAGUGAUGGAUUUCAAUAACAACAAUUGACUUUCAAUUUUUGAAACCAGACUACCAGAAAUUCCACAAGGCAUAACAUCAGUAUUCAACAGAGAAACUGCAACAUUCAGCAAGGAAUAGGCAUUUUGUUCCCACUCCAUGCAUUGUUUUAGAAUUGUUUGAAGCAUUUCUCGUUCUUUGAGAGAUAUCUUCAGAAACUUUGAAUCUGAAACCAACUCCUGGAAAAUUUUAUGGAGCAUCAGAAAGCAUCCAAUGUCUAGACACCCAAAAGAAGAAGAGAAGAUAUUAAAAAAAAAAAAAACCUUUAGGGUAUCAAGUUGGAGCAAAGAACUUGAGGCAUGUGAAACAGAUGAAUCAGAAAACAAAAAUGGCUUGGAUUUGCUCAACCAGGUCUUUGUCAUUGACAUGGCAUCCUUAACAUCAUCAAGUGAAGGGAGAAUAACACGUAUAUCUUCAGAAAUCCUAAAUUACCAAGUCAAAAAAUUAAAAAUGAAAAUAAAAGAGUAAAAAACAACUGAAUAGAAUAGUAUACCAAGAAAUAAAACCUUAAAAUAUCCUCAAAUUCAGACAUCCCAGCCUCCUGAUUAAGAACAUCUUUUGCUUUUUCUUCCCAAUGCUUAGCAACUACAAGCACCGCAGAAAUAUCAACAAAUGGCUUCUCUUUUUCAAUCUGUAGCCUGACAUAUGUUGGAUAUGAGAUUUACAAAAUUAGCAUGCAAAUGAAAUAACAUAUAAAGUCUUCCAAGUUUCUAAGGAAUAUAAGGAACAUACAUAGUUGCUUCCUCCAUCAAUUCCUCAAGCAAAUUCAUUUGCACUUUAGAUUGAAGUGCCUAUACAAAAUUUUACAUACUUUCAGUGAAUUAAUAAACUAAAAGAAAGAAACAAGUAAAGCUCAAAUAAAAAUGCCAGGAACUGCAAAUUGAGAAAAAAAAAUGCUGAGUAGAGUGCAUAAAAUGGGCAGGUCAACAAUCAGAAAUCAUAACCUAAAAAUUUGUUUUCCCCUAAAAUGGGGAAUAUAAAUGAGGUUAAAUUGCUGAAUGCAGGAUUAAACACACAACACAUGAGGAACUAAUGAACCAACGGAUAUUCCACACACACACACACACACACACACAAAGAAUGGCAUAUGGAGAGCUACCUUCAAACCGUUCACCCUGCAACAGGCCUUUUUCAGCUCAAUGUCAACAAGAGGCAGCUCUUCAACUACAUUUGUUUUUAUAAGGGUAAAUUAAAAAUAGUAAGCACCAAAAUCCAGAGAAAUGAGAAAAAGUCAAAGCCAUAUGCAGGGAAAAUACCUCGAACUUUUAAUGACACCCCAUCCCUUUGAAUGGAUGUUAAUUCAUCAACAACAUUUUCCUGAUCCUCUCGGCAAUCAAUGUUCGCCAAAACUUGAUUCGCACGAGACUUCCAUGACAUAGCAUCAUGAUGGUAACAUCUAAGAAGUGUUAGUUCUGGGAUGUCAAAAGUAAAAUCAUCAUAUCCUUCAAUAAGCAGCUGAAGUUCCUGUACAAAAAUCAAUUCCAGCAUCCAUUAAAUUUCAGUGCAGAACACCUCUGUGUGAAGAAUAAACAGUAUCUAUGAAGUCCUGACCUUCAGGCUUAUAGAAUCUUUUAAAAUCUCAUUACACCGAGAUCGACAAGAUUCUACUUGGGUUAUCAAAUCCAAAAGUAUUUCACUUUCAGGAAGUUGGACUUUAAGCUCCAACAUCUGAUACAGAGAAACAGAAACUUAAACACCCAAACAUAAAAGCAAUAAAGCAGCAAAUUAAAAAAUCUACCAAAAUCACCUGAGCCUGCAACUCAUAGAGGAUAUCUGCGUUAACUGCACCUGGCAAUUUCUCAUUGAAGCAUUUUCUGACACUUUCAACCCAAACCUGAAGAGCCUCAAUGGUAGCAAAAGAUAAGAAUCCAAAUGAAACAGAUAGACCAUAUAAACCAUGACAGGAAUGCAUAUAAAGAGGAAGAAAGCUUGCCAAAGAUACCACAUCAUCUGGUCAAUCAAUAUGCAAUAAAAUACAUAAAUAUCCUAAUAUAAGGAAUUCCCACCCAUCUUGAGAAAGUCUCUCUAAUAUAACGUGACAGCAUAACCUAGAAAUAAUUAGAGGAAGUACCUUUACCGAAGACAUCCUCUGGAAUAAUUUCUCACUUUCCUUCACGUACAUAGGUGAGACACAGGUCUUGGAAUAUAAAAUCUCCCAAUCAGCUAUCUGAGGUGGGCAUUAGCAAACAUCAACUGGGUGAAAGAGAAAAUUAAAUGAAAUGAAACAGAUUACAACUUGAAAUAAAGCAAAGGAAAACCAGCCAAGCAAUAGAGUCAUCAAAGCUGCAGUAGUACCGCCCACCAAAUAUAUGUUGUCAUAAGCACAAUUUAACAACCAAAAGUGGAGGCAUUAAUUUCGAAGAGCAUACUUACAGAAACUUUUCCACACAUAGGGAGAGCACGAUCAAUUUCUUCAAUCAGCUUUGCAGCUUCUUGUUGGUACUCCUACACACAAAAUGGCGAAAAAUGAUAAAAGGGAGAUAGAGAUCAUAAAUGGAGACCUGCCACGCGCGCACGCGUGGGCGAGGGUGGUGGUCAUCGAGUUGAACCUUAAGUUUAAGAUGGCAAGGCAAUUUGCACGGCACAGGAUCUACAGACAGCAACUUGUUAACAUGAUCCAUCUGUACCCUCCCUGUACCUUGAUGGCAAUCAUGUGACCAGGAUUCCAAUUUAGAAAGGCUAUCUCUUACAUCUUGUGCCCAGUUCUGAGCUUCAAUCAAGUUCUUUACUGUGUCUCGGACCUAUACCACAAGGAAUAUAUAAUUUCUUGAGUACAGAAAUGAGUUUUUGAAUUAGCACAAAGUGUAGGUUUGAAAAUUGAAACUCACAGGGUCCAUUUCAGAACCAGCCCAAAGGAAUUGUUCGGCUUCUUUUAUUGCACUGGCAUAAGAAUCAGCAGAGUAUGGUCUCUGAAGAAUCUUGCAGGACUUUGACAGCCAUCUUUCAGCAAGUUGAACGUGUGUGAUACAUCCCCCUUUAAUCUACAAGGGAUGAAGUCAUUUCAGCUAGAAAACAAUGCCAAUAAACUUGACAGAUUGUUAUGCCAAAGAAAAGAAAGGAAAAAACAAGGACUUCAUUGUCUUUUACUCAUGAAAAGUAAAAGAAAAUGCAUUCCAAACCUUCUUUGAUAAAGCAACUGACUCAUUAGAAGAAGAAAGUUGCCCUUGCAAGCUUCUGUCUUGAUCCCCAGAACUGAGUUUAUCAGUCAUAAGCACCAGAGCCUUCAAAUCUGCCAAAGUAUGACGAUAAAGGAGACGGUGCUUGCUAGCCUUACAUUCACAAAGAUGUUCCCAGUGCUGCAUCAUAUGAAAGAAACAAUAAGCAACUAUUGGGAUGGUGGAUAACUGAAAGUUCUAGCAUGUUGUUAACCAAGCCAAUUCAAGGAGAACAUACAUCCAAAAGGUUGAAAAUGACUUGAAGUGUAUAAUUUACAAGCCAUAAUAUCCUUCAAUUUUGGAAAUGAAAUAAUUGGAUGACAAAAGCAGUAUAAAGUCAAAGGGUAGAAGAUAAAAGCAAUAAAAUAAAAAUCUGAACAUGGGCACGAUAUUGAACCAUAACUGCAAUAGUAGCGAACCUCAGAGUUUGUAUUGCACAAACAAACAACAAUGAUACCUAUAUCUUUCCAAGCAGCUAACUUGGGCUGAGGGCCUAAGAGUCUUACAAAAAUCUGUUAACUGACAGAAAAAGACUACACAGAUAUACAGCCCAAACCUUUAUGUUGCAGAAGCUUGAUGUAAAAAUCUUAGUUUUUCAUUGAUGGAGGGCAAUUUAAAAACUUGUAAUAAAAAACAACAAAUGAAAAUGGGUAAAUAAUUAAUGCAUGAGUCUUUCAAGAUUCCUUACCUCUACACAAACAAAAGCUGAUGGUCUACAGCGGCAAACAACAGCAGAAAGAUAUAGAAAUUGUUGACAUAUGAUGCAUGUUGGAUCCUUCAAGCAUUAUGUCAUACUGAUCAGAAAUGAUGUUCCUCAAACCAUAAUACUGCAGCUUAUUAAAGCUCCAUGAACAAGAUACAAGUUACAGAGAUACCUCUUCGCUACCAACAUGUUCAGGACGCUUACGAGGUGACAUGGUAGAAGAACGAAGAAUCCCAUUUUUCCAAAGCUGCUCCCUCCAGACCUUCUCAUUCUCAUAUACCCUUAUCAAUUCCUUUCUCAAGCAGACUGAUGCUCUGCUAUCAAAGUUGCUCUGCAAGAAAGAUGGAUUCCAACUAUAAAACCAAAAUAGCAUGGAACAAGGACAGAAAAACAAACGACGAACAAGUGAAAGCCAGAAUGAUGAAGAUUACAGAUCUAUUCACAUGAGUAGCUCAAUAAAACAAAAGACUAGAAGCAAGGAAUACAGUUUUUGUUUGGCAAGUUAAAUUUGUCACAAGUAACAGUGGAUACCGAAGCUAUGAACCACUCACCAAUAUCACAGAAUGUUCCAGAGAAUAUGCCAACCAUCAACUUCAUUCUUUAUAUCACUAAAUUACUGAGUAUGAACUUAUUUCUAAACAAAGGCAUAAUUUAUCAAAAUGACAUUUUCAGAAACAAAAUUAGCUCAUGUGGAUACUAAUGGAGAACAAUAAAUAAGCAUGCAUAGCAGAUGUUUCUUCUAUUCAAUCCCAUGUGCCAGCUCUUCCAGAGUUAAAAAGAGACCACGCCAAUUGGGGGAAUGACCACACAUAAGGCCCUACAAAAAUGAAACUAAGGUUCCGUUUGAUAAAACUGAAUCUGAAUUCUAAAAUCUGAAUACUGAAACAAUUAAUUUGCUAAAUUUUAAGCACUGAAAAGAAAUAUAUGAAUGCCUGAAUUUUAAUGCUAAACCUAUUUAUACUAUUUGAUAAACAUUUAUAACUGAAUGCUUAAUAAGUUAAAUUUAACAAUUUUGUCCUUAUAUCUUUUCAUCCAAAACAGAAAUAGAACCUAUGAUUUAAUUAGUUUAAAAUUAUUAGCUAUGAAAUUGACAAUAUUUAUUUUUAAAUCAAAUUAAUAUAAAAGAUGAAAUAUAUUAUAUGAUGAGUAUAGAGAAGAUGUGAAAAUCAUUAAAAAGGGAGAAAAGAGAAAUAGAAAAUUGCUAGAUAGAGAAUAUCAAGUUGUUUAAUUAAAUAAGAAUUUUGAACAGAAUCAACAAACAAUGAUAGAUUUGGUAGAUAAGAUAAGUUAGUGGAAGUAAUUUUAUUGAUUCUUAUCAGAAUUAAGCAUUCAGCUAGGAUUCUUGUGCUGAAAAAAAUACACACAAGUUCAGUACUGCUUAACAAGUUCAAUAGAUGCAUUUUCAUUUAUCAAAUACUCAAAAUGUCUGAAUGUCUGAAAAAGUUCAGUUUCAGCACUUUUUUAUGUUAUCAAACAGACCCUAAAUGGCAAAAUAAAAAAAGAAUCUUAGGAAACUAAAUAGCAAAAAAGAUGCUCAUCAACUUUUAGGUAUAUUUCUUCCAACUAUCAGUUGAAAGUUCUUAUGAAUCAAGUUACACAGAAUUAACUGCAAAAACAAAAUUUAGCUGCUAAUAAAGCCCGAGUUAGAACUUUAUAUAAGCCUCUUCACCAUAGAAUGACUCAUUUAAAAACAAUAACCACCUAAAAGCUCAAAACAAAUGAAACAAGGGAAAUAUCACAUUCUCACAACUAAAGGCUUUCUAAAUACUAUAAAGUAAGACAAUCUAAAGAUGACUUCAUGGAUCAAACUGCAUGCUUGGAGUUUAAUUCUCCACCUUCUAAGUUAAGACCAUAAACUAAUGUGCCUAAUGGAGGGGGCCGGAAAAAAGGAGAAGAAGUGGACCUUUGCUACCACACAUAGGAGUUCCUCAUGGGAUAAUACAGCAGGUUUGCGAUAAAGUUUGUAUAGUUCUGCCCCACAACCUCCAUAAGGCAGCCAGUCAGCAGGAGCAAAGUUGACUGCCUCAGCACAAUUUAGUCCUGUUCAUUCAAAGUUAAUCAAAAAUUAACCAAUGAGGUCAUCUACAAUCAUGCAACUAGAUGACCGAGACCUCCAUUGAAUCAAAAGUUAACCACAUUUCUGCUUACCCAGGUUGAAGCCUCCAUGAUAAGAUCUAGGGAAGGUAAUGAUAAAGUUUCCAGGCUCCUAAAGAAAAGCAAUUACAAAAAUUAGUAUUUCAAAUAUACCUUCAACAGAAGAAGCGGAAUACCACUUACACCAUUUACAGCACUAUAAUGAGUUAUUACUUUGCAAGCAAAGUGAAGGUUAUGACAAUAAGGGCAUGUUCCAAAAGAGAGAGAGAGAUGAAAGACUUCAUCAAGAUUUCAAUUAUUUAUUGAUUAAUUUCAAAGACAAAAGAACAAAUCAUGCAUAGUCUUUCUUUUAUGAAUUAUAUGUUGGGGAUGGCAAUCCUGCAUAUUUGAAUUGCUCAACUCCAAUAUAACAAAUUCCACAUUUUGUGUUCUGGAAAGGGACUUCGCCAAGCUCUAGCAACAAGGACCUUUGCUUGGCUGUAAAAGAAGCAAAAAUGGGAAAAGGAAAGAGUUUUUAUCCUGUGUUUCCACAUGCAUAAUAGCAACAAAUCACAAUUUUAGCAUACAUGAGCAAUACAGAAUUAUCUUGAGAAUAUCCUGUAUUUCCGCAAGUACAAUUACAUUAAAUCACAACUUUUAAUAUACAUGAACAUUACAGAAUUAUCUUAACAAGAGCAAAUUACAUUUUUUGUUUACUUUUACUCUUCAAACUCUAAAUUUUAGCUUCCAGCCUCUCAAGAUGUAUAACUGAAAGACGUAAACCUUUAAAAGAGUUCAGAGUACCAUGCAUCUCAAAUCCAUCCAUCACGGUAACAGAAUAUGCAAUGCAUAACUGUGUUGACAAUGUAGAACAUCACCUGAAGCACACUGUAAACAGGAACACCACUUUCUUGCAAGACACUAGGAUUCAGCAUGGUUACAAGCUGGAACAACAAAUCUGGUUGUGCAUCAAACAGAUCAGGAAGACUGUUUUUCAUCACCUACAGAAAGAUGAAAAUUACUUCUACAAGCAUGCACUUGACAAAAAGGAAUAAAAAGCCAAAAGUAAAAAGAACUGCUAAUUCAAGUACCAAUGAAAACUUUGUAACACACAUUUGAGGGAUAGAAAAACCAAGGUAAAGCACCAAAAGCAUAAUUCCUUACAGCCAAACACUUUCUUAUCCACAUUCUGAUUCAUUAAAAAAUUCAAUUAAAAGUACGUGAUCGCCUUAUUUUCGUUUUUUUUCUCCUUGCAGGGUGAGAGUGGGAACCAAGUUACAUAAUUCAAAAAGUAAGCAGCAUAACCUUAAAAAUCACAAAUGCACUUGAGCAUAGCAACUGAAGACAAGUUACCAGAAAAAGUAAAGCAAGCUCUAAAAUGCUUAGAUAAAUCAGAGCUUGGAAUAGGAACAGAUAUUUAGAUCCAACAACCAGAAAAAUCACACAUCUAAUCCCAUAGAAAGUUGAUAAACGUAGAGGAAAUAACUCAGUCUGCAACCCAUUAUAACAUUAGUGAAAGAUGCAUUUACAAGCCCAUAAGUACUUAUGACAUCUAUAAUUCAAGACAUAUAGGAUUUCACCAACUUCUCAGUCCUGCUUUUAGGAAGAAGAGGCAUAAACGCAGGCUGAGGUCCUAGACACUGAGAGCCGAAAUACUUUGCGGAGCAGUAGCAAUCAUCCAUCUAUCUACAACAAUCAAUAUUUUACAUGAUUUUUAUGCAUGUUAAUUUCACCCAUUGAAAACAUGACUUUCAAGGAACCACUAGUAAGUAUGAAAGAGAGCUAACAACGCAGAGAAGAAGAGCAAAUGACUCUAGUGUCAUGUCCAAAAUCCAUUGCAGCAAAACAAGAAUGGCACUGAGCGUUGUCUAACAGGAGCUACAAUUUUCUAAUUCUAAACACAUAAAACUAAUCUAACUUCAGAGAAGCAGCAAAAUCAAAAAGAAUGUAUCCAUUAAAGUACCUUUUCAAAAGCACAGGCUUCACUGCCAGGGACACUGUACCAACAUUUUGGCUCUCCCCUAAACAAAAUGAGCAGCAGUGAGUACGAAUUUAAUCCACAAACUUAAGAUCAAGCUUAUCAAGGUCAAACAAGGCUUGUUACUCCUCGCAAGCAACUAAGAUCUAAUUCAAACAACUAAUCUCUUCAGAAAAAGGGGCUCACAAGAUUUGAGAAUGAAAGAUAUUCAAGCAAAAUUCAUUUAAACAUUGAAAGUUCACCCAGGCUCAGUUUAAAUACAGCUCUACAUGAAAGGACACAAACUCAUAAAAAAGAGUAAAAAAGAAACAGGAGUUCACAAAAUUUGAAUGUAAAAUCCAACUUUUUUGCAUAAAAACCACAGCUACAUUGCAGGAAGAUGACGCGGUCAUUUAAGUUAAGAUUGCAAUUUGUCAUUGAAGGCUGUGAUCUUUCAAAAGAACAAAAUAGUUGAGGAACCAAAAAAAAAAAGUAACACGAAAGAUUUUCAAAAGCUUGAAAGCAAAGGUAUAUCUUGCUUGCAUCCAGAUUUCAGAGUCCACACGCAGCUAAAUGGAAUGAUUUAACAAAUUUUACCUCAUCUCAACACAGACAUAACAUGAGUAGCAGAAAUUUUUUAAAAAGUUUUGCAUUUGCAGAAGCUUGAAAGCAAAGGUAUAUCUUGCUUGCACUGGAUUUCAGAGUCCAAAAUCCAGCUAAAUGGAAUGAUUUAACAGAAAAUUUCCCCCAUCUCAAUACAGAUAUAACAUGAGUAGCAGAAAUUUUUUAAAAAGUUCUGCAUUUACGUCACAAAGUAAUCAGCCAGUGCUACAACCCAAUAAUCAUCUAAACUUACAUACAAGCCAAUAAACAUCUAAAUUUACACAAGACGAGAAUGGUGCCCAAAAUUAGAAGGAUGUGUACCAGUGAAGAUAAUUCAUCGAGUAAAAGCAGUGGUCCUCAAAAUGCCAGCAGAAUGACGAGAAUAGCAUCCCAAUAUACAGCCAGGGUACCAUGACCCCAGCAAUUCCAUGAUGCACUGCUUGAAGCAUUGAACCAGGUAGCUUCGGUAAGUUAUUAAGAUUCCAUGGGCUAGCACAGUACUCGUCCCACACUUCAGCCUCAACUGAUGAUGGUCUUUGGUCAGCUACACGUGGAAAUCCACUCCCGUAUACGGAAGUAUCCAAGUCACUGCCAUACAUUACUUCCACCUCACCAACUGAUCCCUCUACAAUCUCCCAAAACUUCUUCUCCAAUUGUACCCGUGACGUAGGUGUUGAUCCAAACCAUUUCUUCUUCGCUCGCUCAGCCACACGCCUAAAAGCUUCCAGGGAAAACUCUUUACCAGGAACAAAUCCAAAGCUCUCCUUUUCAGAAUUCAAGCACUCCAAGCAGUACCAAUUACCCAAAGGCACUUGCUUCAGAGGUGGAGAUAAGCAAUAUAUGUGCCAACCCUUAUUACACCUAUCACACAAAAGCAUUACUUCCCCAUGCAACCCACUUCUACAUUGCUCACAUAUUUGAUCAAACUCUUCCUUUUCUUGCUUGCGAACUUCAACUUUCUCACCCUCACUAUUCUUCCGCAUUCGCUUAAAACUCGAAACCUCAAUUUCCCGACCUCUUUUUCUACCCCCUUGCAAUCCUCUUUUACAAGUCUUCUCUUUUCCUUUAUUAAUAUUGCAAUAAUACUCUUCAUACUCACAUAAAUGCUCCAAAUACAAUUGACUCAACACAUGCUUGGCGCAGUCUGUGAUCUUCCCAUUAGGGCGCACAAACCUGAAAACCUCCCCCCAUUUUUUAUUCUUCACAACCUUGUCAUACCCUCCAAAUCUUUUAACAGCAUUAAACAAUUUACACAAAUCCAAAUCACCACCUUCAAAGACAACCCUUUUUUUUGCUUUCCUACUGCAAUGCUCCCCCAAAAACCUAUUGUAUUCCAACUUAAAAGUCUUUGGAUCACAUGAGGAACAUCGCGCCUGUAACUUGUGAAUUUCCUGUGUUUUUGUGGGGAAUGUAAAUGAAUCUAAAUCCAAACCAAAAGGAGGUUUCCAGCACUUAGGCGGAACGAUCUUACAAAUCCCAUAUUGCUCAGCCUCAGGCCUGAUCUUAUCAAUAAACUCUAAAGGGUCCCUAAAUUCAUCCUCAGUUGGAUAAUACACUGGCCCUGCUGGGACAUUCAAUGAACCGCUGGAUAAAACACAAGUACUUGGCCCCAAAACAACCUUUUCUACAGCCCUUGGCCUCCCUUUCCCCAUCAAUAAUUCAAUCUCUCAUCUCAAACCAUAAAUAAAUCCCACUACAAUAACAAAUUUGAAUUCACAUUAAUAUCUGGACCAAAAAAUGUGUGUCCUCCAAGGGGGAAAAAAACAUGCAUGGAUUAACAGCUUUCAACUAAAAACAUGUUAUAUGAACUGAAAAAAAAAAUUAAAGGGUCUUAAACAUACCUUCUUUCGGAGAAAAUAUGAUUAAAUGAACGAUUAAUAGCUCUGAGAAGUAACUUCUCUCUCCCUUUUUUUUAUCUUUUCUUUCCUUCUUUUUUUAUUUGGAAGUUUUAAAGUGAGAGAGGGUGUGUUUCUCUCAAUCCUUGAGACUUUAGCAAGUUCGUUUUCUUUUUAGGUUACGGUGCAAGAAAACUGGCGCAAUCGUGAAUGUCUUGCGACUGAAAUUUGAGGAUAUUUACGAAAAUGUCUACAGGGAUCUUUCUAUCAGAUUCUCCUUGUUCUCAAUAGAACCGCGUGAGUCGCACGUGAACACGUCAACGGUUGUGAUGGAGCCGUGUUCGGUGACUUGAUAAAAGAGAGCGUGAGAGUGUUUCGGAAUGUGCUGAUUACUCGUUAUGAAACCGUCUGAGGUUUUCAACGAACCCGUCGGUGGUUUCGGGGACGUAUCACCAGUAAAAGUACAUCGGAUUGACGGUCAGGAUUUUUAGUCAAGUCAAGAUUUCUGUGCAUCACUCUCUAUUUUUUCUUUUUAUUUUUCUUUUUUUCCUGUUUGGAUCUUUUUUUUUUUUUAUUUUUUGGUGUGUGAGUGUGUACAGAUGGCAAAGGUAUUGAAGUGAUAAAAGAAGGUGCUAAAUAUUGGUCAAUGACUUAGAGAGGCUUUGGCAGCAUGCCGGUAUAUAAUGUGAAGUUUCACUUGAAAAGUUUUGGUUGGAUUAGGAAUCCUUUUUGCUGCCAUUUGUUGCAAAUGUUAGAGCAGGCCUUACUAUCUUUAGAAGGGAACAAUAAUAAUAAUAAUUAGUCCUUGCCUAUAUUUUGAGUGUAUAUAGUAGCACCAUUGUAUAAUAAAACUCGAAUAGUUUUAUUAAUAAUGCUUCAGUAACUGUUUAAUAGAAUGGUGGUGUAGCCAUCUUUUAGAUGUCAAAUUCUAAUCCAGAGCAAUUAGAAUGUCUAAAGCUAUAAUAUGUUUCAGUAUUAUAGGUUGGUCAUAAAGCUUUUAUUAGUUACCAGGCCACAUUGUAUAGUUUGGCCAAAUUUAUUUAGAAUCUAUGUAUAGGCCGGUCAUAAAGUUUUCAUUAGUUGUCAGCUACAUUGUAUAGUUAGGCAGUAUUGAUUUGAUGUUUUUAUGGAUUUCAGUAGGUUUUAAGUCCGUAAAGUUAGCAUGUCAUAUCCACGGACUUCGAGUCAAAAAUUUUUAAGUCCGCACAGUUUAUACAAGAAGUCUAUAAAGGCAUACGUCCCAAACCAAUGUUGGGAACGAUGCACUUACAUCCUGUAAAUUAAAGCAUCCAAUAAAAACUCCAAUUUCAUACGUUCCUUAGCAAGUUUUUUCCAAGUUCUUAGCUCUCUCAUAUUGCUAGCAUAAGACGAAAGAGAAAUAAGAAAGUAGAGAUUUAGGCAGCCAACCCUAGAUUAGAUCCAAACAACCGGAAACUUUGAAAAAGAUACCUUGUUUUUAGGAUCCUAAAAGACCAAAAGACGGUGUAGUACCAUCAAAGCCUUUCAGUUACAAAGCAGGCGCCAGGGGAAGAUCCGGUGAGGCAAAACUCCUAAUCACAAGAUUCCCAUUUUCAUAGCAUCAGAAGGAAAAUUUGGAUUUAAAGCAAGGAAGGUAAAAUCUCAGUUAUCUUUCUUAAAGUAUCUAGUAGUCAUUUAUUUCUUAAAUUCCAGUUAAUCAUCCUGAUAUUUUAUAUGAAUUUUGAACCGCCUUUUCAAUUUACAUCCACUCCAGAAAACGCAUACAGAUUAGCAUUACGAACCCUCAGACAACCAGAUACCUAUUAUUAUUUUGAUAAAAUUUUAGAAGACAUAGAAACUUCAGACCAGUGUCUAGCAAAUAUACAAAUAGAAGAAUCUAGAUUAGUAAAAGUAGCACACCACCAUCCCGCAUCCUUUCUCAGAAAUAUUAGACAAGCAAAGGUAGAUUUACUUUGGCACAGAUACUCUGAAUUAAAAUCUAUUGAAAGACAAAAAUUAGAAGAAAAAGAAGAAUAUAAAAACAGAAGGAAUUCCUGUAAUAAAAUUUGUGGAAUAUCUGAAACAUAGGUCUUUAAUUGGAGCCGUAAAAGUCCAACAUAGUUAUAGAUUUUUAUCUGAAACAUAGGUCUUUAAUUGGAACCGUAAAAGUCCAACAUAGUUAUAGAUUUUGGUAUCAGAGCAACAUAGGUCUUUAUUCAUGUAUAUUUAUGCUUAGCUAUGUACAUAAAUUAUUUACCAACAAACAUUUUUGUUCCAUGAAUUCAUAUGUUUAAGGGGGCAUAUUUUAUGUUUAUCCCAACGCGCAACGCGCGUUUUAUGCCUCCUAGUUUCUCACAAAGAACGAAACCUUGGCGACUAGGAGAGUAAACAAUCUGCUGUAUCUUUUUCCUCGUCUCUGACCUCAUGCGUGUGUAUAUGGCUUCUAAACAAACCAGUCGUGUAACAUGUUAAGCAUCCAUAGUUACUUGUCGAGGAAGACAGGAUUACAUUCAAGAUUCAACGCAGACAGGCUUACAUUCAAGAUUCAACGCCAAACAAUUGAAGAUAUGCUGGCCGUACGCUGAUAGAUGCCUUUCUGUCCCCACAUACAUAUAUAUAUAGGUGGGUGUUUUUCUGAGCUCAAUUCCACUUACAGGUGAAAAUACCACCUAAUAAACAUUCAAAAGAUUGAUUCUUUAAUUACUACAAUAAAAAGAUCAAAUUUUGGGAGCAAAUCAGAAAGAUGUGGUAUCCUUGGAAAAAAGGGCCAUCUGGGUUCUCUUCUAGCUCUACAGCUGAGGAUGUCACUCAAGGGUUGAUGCCACGGGCCUCACUGCCAUUGUUACAGGUCUUUUUCCUCUUCUGAUGGUUAUUUUUUCCUAAUCUUAAUUUACAUAAUUUUCCCCUUUUAUCCGUUGAGUGCUGCACGUGGUAUAUUCAUGUAUGCAAGUUGUCUACUUUCUUUUUCCUGAGAUUUUUGAACUGUUUGAUGAUUCAUGACUCUUCAAAUCUCAUUAAUAUGUCAAGGAAAGAUUGAAUAUGAGCCAGAUGAACUAUGACUGGGGGGUGUGCUAUGUAAGGAUGUGGCUUUGUAUCCUCCCAUAGUGAAAAAUAAGGAGAAAAGAGGUGGACGUUCUGCUGUUUGCGACUUGGUUCUUGUUAAUCUAUGUGACCUUCAGCAAAAUUUCUUUUGGAUGAUUAAUUAUCAACAUUCAAGCAUGUAGCUACUCUGCCAGACUUGGACCUUGCUUUGGCCUCGUGCAAUAUAAUGAACCAUAAUCCAGCAGUGGCUUACCUCUUUCCCUGCAUAGUAAAACUAAGAAUACUUGUAUUUUGCAUUUUCUCAAUGCAAAGGGAAAACAGGAACUUUUAAGUGGUGGUAGGAGAUGAUUCUGGUUCUGCCAGUCUAUGUGUUACUGUAAAUUGAUCCAAGAAGGGAAAUUGAUUAACAUCCAUAAACUCCGCAUUAGAAAUUACAUUCAUUUAGUAGUUUGGGCUCUAUAAUCUCUAUUUUGUGUGGAUGAUCUCAUGUGUGUUAUGUUAGGUAAUUUUGUGUUCAUCAUUAUCACCUUUGUCUUAUGCUCAUCCUCGGAAGAUGUUUUAGUAUAUUUCUAAUUUACGUAGUUGAUCCUUUUUGCUUUUCUGUUGUCAUUUGUUGCAAUUCUAUUGAUGGGAAUAAAUUUUAAAAUAUUUAAAAUUUCUGAUUUUUAUGAUAAAUUUUUUUUUUACCCGGGCAAGCUUUGUUGUCUCAUAUCUGCUGCUCUUCCUUCUUUACAAUUUUCAGGAGCAUCCAGUGGCAUUGGCACAGAGAUUACUCGAGUCUUAGUGUUGCGUGGUGCACAUGUAAUUAUGGCAGUGCGAAAUGUGGAUGUUGGAAGAAAAGUAAAGGAAGCCAUACUGAAGGAGAUUCCUAAUGCUAAAAUUGAAGUUAUGGAGUUGGACCUCAGCUCUAUGGCAUCAGUUAGGAAGUUUGCAUCAGAAUACAACUCCUCUGAUCUUCUCUGAACAUUCUGAUGUAAGAUAAUCAUAUGUCAAAUAUUCAAUUUUCAUAUCCAUGUGUUUUAAUUCUUAAAUAUUUGCUUCUUCUUGGGAUAUGUAUUUAAUGUUAAUCAUUUACUUUCUUGUGCAUUUUCUUCCUUUUUCCUCCUAUUUACUUGAAUUUUUCUUAAAUUUGACAUUUUUUGUUUUUUAAAGUAACAAUGCCGGGGUUAUGGCACCACCAUACAUGGUUUCACAGGAUGGUAUGGAGAUGCAGUUUGCAACUAAUCAUAUAGGUAUGCUUGCUAUUUAUUUCUUGUAGAUAUGAUGUUUCUUGAGAUUGCAAGUCUAUGAUGUUAGAAAAUGUUGGGCAUUAUUUGCAGUGUUAUGGUGCCAUGGAUAUUUCUUCUUCCAUCCAAAAACAUAAGUAAAAUCUGGCAUGCAGUUGUAUCUUUUGUUGCUGCAUGUUAAUUCAAAGCAUUUUUGUGACUUUGUAGAUUGGCAAGUGAAAGUUGAUGCUGUAGGUACAUUUAUGUUUUCUAUUAUUUAAUAAAAGUGGACGUGAAGAUUAGACUAUUAAAUAAGAAAAGGUAGACCAUUAUGAACUAACCCCAGAUGGUGAAGCCUGUCUUGUACCUACUUGCAUCGAAUUUCUUCUGUCCAUGUUUCUUUAUAGGUGAAAUUUUAUGAUAGGGAUUGGAAUUUUUUAUCACCACAUAACCUACUGAUUGUUUGAUUAAAUUCUUCACUUGUUGGCUUGUUCUUUCUUAGCUUCUCUUAAGCCCUAGAGUUAGACUUCCAGUAGAGUGGAAUUGUCUUUUCAUUUUCUUAAUAACUUUAAAGAUGUUCUAUUGGUUGAAGGACUUCUGACUGACUAAGAGAAAAUCUUCCAAUUUGAACUGGAAAUACAUUUCUUGUUUGGUUCUACAAGCAGUCUUGUUAUAACUCCUUUGUUUCUCUGUUCUUCUUACUUUCAAGCACAGAUGAUGACUGAUGCCAAUGCUAAUCACUUCACUCUUUUGUGCAGGUCAUUUCCUUUUGACAAAUCUGUUGCUGCAGAAAAUGAAAACCACAGCACGUGACUGCCAAAGAGAAGGGAGAAUAGUUAAUGUCUCAUCAGUUGGACACAAUUUCACGUAUCAAGAGGGAAUCUGUUUUGACAAGAUAAAUGACCAAUCAAGGUGGCAUAGACGAUGCUCUUUUGUUUCAUUAAAUUCCUAACUUUUGUGCUUAUUUGUUCAGUCAGUUGCUACAAAACAGAUGCAUACCCUUAUUGGAAAAUAGAAAUCUGUAUAGCCAACCAAAAGCAAUUGGGGUUACUUGAGACAAGAUGUGUUCUUAUGAGUUCACUUUUUUUGUGUACAUGCAACACUAGAUAAAAGAAAUAGGAGAGAAUUUAGGAAAUUAUAAACUUGAGAUCUCCAGGUUAUAUCAAGAGGUCAGCAUAUUGAUAACAUCAACAAAGUAGACCAAAGCAUUGGGGCAAAUGAUCUGUUGAGGUAUAUGUGACAAAAAUCUAAAAGCUGAUCGAAAUGAUAAAUUAUUUGAUACUUGGGCCUAUGGGGUAGAGUUCUCAGUUCUCGUACUUAAUAAAGUGGAUGAACUGAUUAGGGUUGUAAUGAAUGAUUGCUGGUCAUAAUUGUUUAUAAUAAAAUGCCUUCUGUUUCUUCAUUUGUUUCCAGCUACAGCCCUUUCCGUGCCUAUGGACAAUCCAAACUUGCUAAUAUAUUGCAUGCUAGUGAACUUUCCAGGCGCUUGAAGGUAAUCACCAUUAGCAGAAAAGUGACUCUGGAACCAUUUUACUGAUGAGUUGCAUAAUGUUUCAUAUAAAACUAGAGGCCAUCUAAAUCUCUGUAGCCUAUGACUAUUUUGAUCUCUUGUUGUAUCUGGAGGCAGAGUAGUAAUUAUCAAAUCUUGGCAUGUUUAAAAUAUUCUAUUAUAGUUUGAGAUGAACAAAUUAGAAAGCAGUAAUAUAAUAAGUGAAAUACAUUUUCAGUAUUUGACAGUGUCCCUGUGAGUUAAUAAAUCACCCUUAGACAAUUAUUUUCAUGCUUUUCAAAUUCUCAUUCUGGUCUGGAUUUUUAGAUGAGGUGUCCUGGAAGCCCUUAGAUGCUACCUGCAGCACACUGUCACUCUCCUUUACUGCAAGAACAAUGAUUGAUGUGUAUACAACAUUGAGUCUCAGAAGCAAGCAAAUCUAUAAGCAUAAUAUCAUUUAUCCUUGUAAAUAUGAUCAUGUGAAAUAAUUGCAUUUGAGUGCAUGAGUUAAUAUUUGGCCAAUAAGCAUACAUACAUACACAUACAUAUACAUAUACAUGUAUAUGUGUGUGUGACUAGGGAUGUACUAGAUUGCUAGUGUCAUAUUCCACUUCAUCUAUUAAUAUCUCAAAGUUUUCCUGCUCAGCAUGCUCAAUAGAAUAUGCAGUAACAGCCUUUUAUCCUCCCACAGGAAGAAGGCGUGAAUGUAACUGCUAAUUCUCUUCAUCCUGGAGCAAUUAACACAAACCUUAUGCGUCACCAGAAGUUCGUGGAGGGUAGAACUCUGUGCCUUUUCUGAUUUUCUUUUCUAUAUUUUAAAGUAAAGGCUUUCCCAUAAUAUACCAGUAAUACAUGCAAAGACAGACCUUUUGUCAGACCAUAGUGAGCUUGAUAGUUUGUUGUCCUUUACACACCUGGUCCUCACAGGAAAAUGGGAAAACAGAUCAAUAGAAUUCUUGUAGCUACCACAACCCUACCUAAUCUCAACACAUUGUAAAAACAGAUCAUCCAAAAUUUUUUCAAACUAAAGCUUUUGAGGGUCUAGUAAUGAAAGUCAACUACAGGACAAAAUUUGCUCAGUUUUGAUUGUUGUGGUGCGCACAAUUUUUGUUUAUCAGAAUAUGAGAAUCCUGGCUAUAUUCAAAAUCCGAGGGUAAAACAUGUGCAACUUUCGUCAAACUAGUUAAAGAGUUCAGGUUGAUGCAAAAAAUGAAGUCGUCAUUGCAUAUACAAUAUCUUAUACAUAAAGCCUAUCACAAUGCUUCAGAGGAAAAAAUUAUUGCUUUUUUUUUUAGUCAAUAGGUUUGUGGCCAAAAUAUUGGUAGAUGAAAUGAGAAAAUAGCUAAUAAAAGUACAUUGUAUGGCUAGUUAUGAGGCUUCCCUUGAUAUUAUUCACUUGACAUGAUUGAUUAUGCUUCUUUAGAUUAAAUGAGGUAUAUUGAUUGUUUAUUUUGGUUGACUUUUGAUGCAGUUGUGGGAAGUUUGUUUAAUAAACUCUUUUUCAAAUCCAUUCCACAGGUUCACUUCAUCUCGUAUUGUUUCUUUAAAGAAAAUCUUGCUGGCACCUCAAAUUGGAGGUGCUUGGUGAAGUAUUUUCCAUAUGUUUCAUUCCUGUUAUCGUGCUUUGUAGGGUGCUGCCACUCCAUGCUACGUGGCUUUAAAUCCGCAAGUUGAAGGAGUACGCGGCGAGUACUUUUCGGACUCUAAUAUAGCAAAACCAAGUGCUUUAGCUAAGGAUGCUGAAUUGGCGAAGAAACUGUGGGACUUUAGCUUGAAAUUGACAGAUCCCAAGGAGUAGAUCGGACUCAACCUUGCUCAAUCAUAUAUUUCUGGUGCUAUUAAAUGAUGGGAUGUAAAAUAAUGGAUUUGUCAUGGAAGAUUUUCGAUUCUUGCUGGUGUGAGCAUCAAAUAAAUGGAUAUGUAGUUUGACGAUGAAUUAAAAGAAAAUUAUUUACUAGCAGUAAUGUUUUUAUCAACUCGGAUAUGAAAUUUCUGUUCUGCUCAACUUGAGAGUUUUGAGUUUGUUUCCCCCUUAAAUCAGACCAAGGCAUCAUAAUAUCUGUCAGAAUUUGUAAAUAUGUUUUGGCUUCUGUUCUAUGGAUGGUAUGAAAACAAAUUCAUGGGCCGUUACCUUCUGUUAAACAGUCAGACAAGGAAGGUGCAAGCAGACCAUGAUCUCAUAUGUAAAUCUGUAUAUUUCAUGUUGUACAUUGCAUCUGCAUAUUGCUUCUAAACAUAAGACAGGAGUACCUUCCUUGCUCAGACUUGUGAACACAGGUGAAUUCAAUACGAUUAAGUAGUCUUAGCAGCAGGUAGACAAAUUUUGCGCCGCCUAUACAUGUCUCGUAAGUAAGAGUUUGCAUUGCGUCGAUGUGUUGUUCUUAUGUUAGUGAGUGUAUAUUUUGCACGGCAUCGUCCAAUAUUGUUUAGAGAUGAAAUAUGGUUUGUGCGGAACCAUAAGUUGUUGGUUUUCACCUACGCUGUUUUGAAAGCUUUCCAUAGCUGCUGUUGUGUGUACGGCAUGUUGGCGAGGAAGGACGUUCAGACAAAGAAGUUCUGUUAUAGUCCACAGUAUCCUAGGAAUACAGGGGACAUCAUUAGAAAAUAAACAUGAGGUUGGCGUUGUAUCUGUUAGAUUGUAUUGUCAACUUAUAUUUUGCGUUUUUUUAAUAGGUUGUGUAUAGCUGCUUAGUUCACGUAAUCACCUAAUGAGGAUAGGUUAAUGUCAUUAAAAAAAAAAGGGAAUUUUGUUUCUUGUAAUCUUCAUCAUACUAUUAAAAACCAUUAGUCUUAUUAAUUCCAUAAACAUUUGUCCGUUUCCUAAAGCAUCGAUGGAGGCCAGAUUAUGAUAGUUUAAGGAAGAUGGAGGCAAAUAACUAGGAUCUAGGAGUUUUCUUUUUUUUUUUUGGAUAGAAUUAAUAGUGAAUUACACACAUCAUUAAUUUUGAGAAAAGUUUCUUGAAAAAAGUGCUCCAAUUCUGACGAGCCAAGAAAGAUACAUCCGUGAAUUUCAACGCUUAUUCUAACGUUUCUCGACUGAUUGUAUUAUGGUUCUUGGAUCAUUUCUAAUAUUUCUUUUAAAUCAGGUCUGGAAUUUCGCUAGGUAAAUCUUUUCUCAAAAGCAUUGCACAGGUUCAUCUCAUCUGUCAUUGCUUCUUUAAAAGCAUAUGUGAUUCUUUUGUAGUUUUACAUCAUUUGUCAUCUCAAUUUCCUGCAGGGUGCAGCCCCUCCGUGCUAUUUGGCUUUAAACCCAGAAGAUGGAGGAGUGAGGCGAGUAUUUUUCAAACUGUGACGUAGGUAAAACAAGUGGUCUAGCUAAAGAUGCAGGGUUGGCAAAGAAACUGCGGGACUUUAGCUUGAGUUUGACGGAUCCCGAGUAGUUGGGAAGGCAACCUCACGCUUUAAUGGAAAUUAUGUGGGAUGCUGCUCGAUGAACUUUUUACUGGUAGUCUCUGUUCAGGCGAAGUAAAAAGGUGCUCUUCAGAUUCAUGGGUUGAAUUUCGAUGGAAAUUGAACAAUGUAACUGCCCCAUAGUUCUUUUUUUUAAAAAAAAAAUAGAGGACAACAAGAAGGAAAGUUAAAAUGUGUCUUUGUUUUUGUUUUCAUUUUUUUCUUGCUAGAUGGUUAAAUGGUUCAGGUCUUCAUAUUGGAACUAGUUCUCGACUCACAUUAUCUUAUGCACGGCUUCGAUUUUUUUUUUUUUGGGCAAUCGAUGGAGAAAUGUUUAAUUGGUAUAGUAUCUGUAUAUAUCAACGUACAGAACUGACAUGAGCAUAGCAGAUUGUUUUGUUUGAAGUGUCGAUUCUGAAAGAUUGCAACCACCACCGUAGACUCGUUCUUCUUCACUACACAUAUUUUAGGCAUCAAAGGUAUGUUUAAUCGUGAUAAACCUGAUUUCUUGUACAAUUUGCUACAAAUUUAGUGAAUGUAAGGUGAGAACUCCCUCAGCAGUGAUAGACAUCAGUUGGGGGAGCUGUCAAGUUCAAGCUGAAAUCCCACAGUUUUGGCUAAUUCUGGAUCUCUGGCCAGAGAACUCGGUUGGGAUAAGUUACAAUCUGCAAAGUACUUUCCGCUAACUCCCUAACUUGUGGAUGCAAUGCCACAUAGCAUGUAGUUGCAGCUCCCUGAGACCACCACAUUGAAUCAAAGUUAACAAUAUUAAUUGUUAGAUCAGCUUUAAUUAGAUGGGCUGUGGUGAAAUCAAGAUACUGACUAUCAUUUAAUGGACAGUGCCAUAUGAUUUUAUCGCAUUAAGAAAAAAAAAAAAAAAAGCGAACCUGCUGAACACUCUUGCAGGCAAAUUUGCCAAUCUUGUUAAAUAAACCUGAUUCCCAGAAGAGGAAUGAAUCAAAAGUACAACAAACUAAAUUAGGAUCUCAGGAUAAAAGUUUCAAAAACCCCAGGUGCAGUUUUGUUCACGGAAGUGUACUAGCAAACAGAAUAAUCUUCUGUUUCAAAAUAAACAAAGAACAAAAUGCUCGAGAACCCCAACAAAAUGUGCAGAGCGCCUUUCUACCGUGUAAAAAAUUUACCAGAGAGGAACUUGAGUGGCGAAAAAUUUUUGUAACAAUAAUUCCAGGAUGAAGUGAGUUAGCAGUUAUUAGCACCCCUUCUUCCUGUUAACAUUCAAAAGACAAUUGUGAGUUUAAAUGGACCAAAAGAUUCUCGAGAGGUAAAAAGAAUAGAAACAAUAUGGGUACAUAUGCAAAUACGUACCUUCAAGCGCCUCGAGAGCUCAGUACCAUGCAAUAUAUUAGCAAGUUUUGAUUGGCCAUAUUUGAACCUGUAAUUUGUUAGCAAUAUUGAUUAAGGGUUCGUUCACAGAAGGCUAAUGAGAUCAAGUUCUCGUCGCCAUAAAAAUUUGGAGCUGUGAUGAUUACUUGUUAUCCACAUUGAUUUUAUCGAAUCGUAUCCCUUCAUGGCACACAAUGCCAUGAGCCAGUGAUGAAACGUUCAAUUCUUCCUUCUAUAUGGGUUUCUGCUGAUGCGUUUUUCAUCGUCUCUAGUAAUAGGUUUGUCAGAAGAAAAUGGCCUGGAAAAUGAGGAAACGCAUAAACAGGGAGAAACUUACCCUAACACACAAGGAUCACACUUAUAAUUAAACAGGUCUAGGUAGGUAUACCCAAGUGAUUAGUCGCGAAAUGGAGUUCGAUGUUGUCUUCAGAGAGCAGAAAGUCAAGAGUCGCGACACCUGCAUUUUUCUGUCAAGAAAUAGAGACAGACAAAUUGUCAAUUUGUCAAGUUAAUUGGAAGCAUUACAAUUUUUGGAACGAAAUACUCUCACAUGAGAAUGUUCAGUGGAAGACCCGUGGCCUUGUAUUCUGCAGCGAAUUUCCUCACUGAUGCCAUUGCGCUGAGGUCUAUCUCCAUGACUUCAAUUUUAGCAGCAGGAAUUUCUUCAAGAAUUGCAUCUUUGACAGCUCUGCCAGCAUCUGUAUUUCUCACUGCCAUAAUCACAUGAACCCCGCGUAAAGCAAGCACCCUUGCUGUCUCCAGGCCUAUACCACUUGAUGCCCCUGGAAAUUACAUCAGUUCUUAGCAUUUGUACAAACUAAGUCUGAUUCAUAGUGGACGUCUCAGUUUCUAAUCUCCGGAAAACUUUUUAGGAUCCUGACCAUCCUGUUUUAUCGAGAGCCUUUCAUCGCAAAAUCAUGCAACAUGCGAAUUGAGCCUUUUGAGAAUUUCCAAGUACGUGAGUGCAUGUACUAGCUAGUCUAUAAUUUGGCUAUCAAAUUUCUUUUUUCCUUUCAUAAAACAUGGCUUUCGAAGCCACACAGUAAAUGAGUAUAAUCAAAAUCCACAGUAGAAGCGGGCGGGCUGCAUACCAGUAACAAUGGCGGUGAGGCCUGUUCCAUCAAUCCCUUGUGUAACUUGCUCAGCUGUUGUAUUAGCUGAGAAUCCUGAAGGCGUUUUUCUUUCAAAAAUCCACAUGUGCCCUGAGGUUAUGGACUAGGCAACCUGGAAUCUGAAGGGCAAUAAUCAACUAGUUCAUGCAAAUUUACUCCAACUUAUAUACUAUAUGGUUUCAAUUUGACAACUUCAGAAGAUUAGCAUUUUUUUUUUCGUUUGUGUCUUUACAUUCAAUUUUGAAGCUAACGUCGUUUGAUUGCGUCUUGGGAGACUUUAAUCUGAUGCCGCAAAACAUGUUUGUUUGAUUGCGUCUUCAAAAACAUAAACUUAACAAACAAAUGUUGUUUGAUUGUCGUGGAAAAUUCGAAGUUCAGAAUUAUGCGUGCAGGCUUGUUCUUCAUGAUUUGAAUCUUAAAAAGCUUCUAUUAUUAUUAUUUUUUACUUCAAAUGGCAUAUUCGAAGAAUUCAACAAAAUUUGAGGACUCGCUCAAAAAAAAAAAGAAAAAAAAAACAUAAAUUUGCACGUUUAUUCGUACAAAUUAGAUUUACUUCUUGUAUUAGUUGGCGUUUAUAAGAAUAACAUAACUAAACAAAAUUGGAUAAACAUUCGACUGGAGAGGCUCGGGAUCCCACAUUGCACAGCUGCGGCCCGUUAUUACAGUAAGAUAUAGAAACGAUGAGCCCCAAAUUGACUAAAAAAACUCCCUUAGAAGUCAUCAUAAUAUAUUACUUGGGGGGCCUAUCAAGCUCAAGCUGAAAUCCCACAGCUUUUUGGCCAAUUCCGCAUCAUUAGCUAAAGGGCUUGCUUGGGACAAGUUACAAUCUGCAAAAUACUCUCCGCUGACUCCCUUGACUUGUGGAUGCAAUGCCGCGUAGCAAGUAGUUGCAGCUCCCUGAAACCACCAUCAAUCAAUUCUUAAAUCCAAUGUCAUAAAAAAAAAAAAUCUGCAAUUGACGGUGCAAUAAAGAAGUCGAAGCCAACCUGUUGAACAUUUUUAAAGAAAUAUUUGCCAAUCAGGUUAACAAUACCUGCAUUGCCAGAAGCCCAGGUCAAAUUAUAUUAUAAAUGUAACGAGGGACAGGACCAUGCUCGAGCGCCCCUAAUCAAUUACUGGAUAUUCUGGUUCUGUAUAUUAUGCAGGAAUGAUCCUAGUUUCGAUGAAAUGACAUGUUUGACAGCACCUAAGAUAAGAAGUGUGUUGGUUGGUUAAGUACUGUUUAUAGUUGACAGAGAAAGAAAUACCAGAGAGAAUGCUGCUAUUGCGCAGAAGAUCAGUAACAACGGAUCCUGGAUGAACUGAAUUAACAAUUACCGGAAUCCCUUCUUCCUGAUUGAAAUGGGAAAAAUAAAAUUUGGAGGGCAAAGUGAAUAAGAAAACAAAGUAGAGCUCGGAUGUCUUCUGGAACCACAGAUAAUAGAGUACCUUCAAGCGUCUUGAGAGCUCACCAGCAUGCAGUAUAUUGGCAAGCUUUGAUUGCCCAUAUUUGUACCUGAAAUUAGAAAGAUCAAGGAAAAAAUUUCUGUUCUAGUAAGUAUUAACGAAAGUAUCUUUGAACGGCUAACUACAUGGAUAGAAAUAUGGGGGUGCAUGCCGUGAUUACCUACCGGGUAUCAACGUUGAUUUUAUCAAAUUGUAUCCCUUCUUUGUACACGAACCGAUGACCUAAUGACGAAACAACCACAAUCCUUCCUUCUACAUUGCUCUCUGCUGCUGUACUUUUCAUUACAUCUAGCAAUAAGUUUGUUAAGAGAAAAUGGCCUGCAAAAAAGUGAUUAAUAAUUAGUUCUGAGACAGUAUUUAACCUAUGUGCAACUAAGAAAUUCAUUCUCCUCCAAAUAAUAGUCAAUGAGAAUCAAGCAGUUGGUGAAUGACAGGCUUACCCAAAUAAUUAGUUGCAAAAUGGAGUUCAAUGUCAUCCUUAGAAAGAUUAAAUUUAGAAACCAUAACUCCUGCAUUAUUGCUGUCAGAAAUGGACAGACAUUUUCAAUCUGUUAAGUUCCGAGUAUAAAACAGUUUCUAAAAGUACAGGGCUAUAAUCGAUUUUGAACAAGAUAUAUCCAAAAAAAUGCUUGUGCAGAAACUUCUGAAGUUAUAUUGAUUGUGACUAAGCCGCUCUCACAUGAGAAUGUUCAGUGGAAGACCCGUAGCAUUGUAUUGUGCAGCAAAUUUCCUGACUGAUACCAUCGAGCUGAGAUCUAGCUCCAUGACCUCAACUUUAGCAGCAGGGAUCUCUUUAACAAUUGCAUCUUUAACUGCCGAGCCAGCUUUUGUAUUUCUCACAGCCAUGAUCACGCGAACCCCACGUAAGGCAAGCACCCUUGUUGCCUCCUUGCCAAUGCCACUUGACGCCCUGAAAUUACAAUUAAGCAUCUUUAAUCAAAUACAGAAUGAAUCUAAUCCCAAUUGUAUCAUCGCAUUCUCGUUUUGUAGAGAACAUGGAUGUGUCUUCACAAUUUCUAACUUCAUCAAUGUUAAGUACAAAGCAAAAUUGCCUUGAAGAAAAGGUACAAAGCAAAAUUGGAGCAGAAAUAACUGGGGGCAAAAGAAGGUGGUAUUCAAAUUUGGCAAUUCAACAAAUGCAACCAAGUUUAAUCAGGUUGAUGUGGAAUUGAGCCUGGAGCUGUUUUGGGGAACAGAAAGGAAGAGGAAAUUAUACCUGUAACAAUGGCAGUCAGGCCUGUUCCAUCAAUCCCUUGAGUAACUUCUUCGGCCGUGGUACUAGCUGAGAAUCCAGAAGGGCCUUCUCUUUCAAAGAUCCACAUUUUGCCCUGAGUAAAGGAUUCCACAGCCAAUGAAUGUAUCUUCGUUCCCCUCGUUAAGAUUAUAACGAAUUGCUCAUGCAAUGGAUACUGUUAACUUCAUACAAUUAUAGCCAGCGGCUGACAAGGCUUUCCAAACUCUCAACGUUUUGAACUUUGUUAGCAACCGCCCUUUUCUUUAUUACUUUCAGGUGCAGAUAUUGUGGUCAGUAUAUCCAAAUGCUCUUACUUCCCGAGAUCUUAAUAAACUAUGCAAAACACAGUUGCCUUUUUCUGACCGUAGAUGGCUUCAACUUUCAGGCUUUGCUCAGCCAGCAAUGAUGAGUCGACGAAUGUUUCACUUGAAUUGGCCAACUAUCUGAUGACAAGACCAAGUUAAAACUGUACGAACUUCAGUUUGUCUUUUAUUACAGUUCAUGCACUAACGCCCGGAAAUUUGGACUUCUUGUUCUGGAACGGUCAACAUGUCCAUCAUCAAUCAGGUCAUGACCAAAAAGAAAAAAAAAAUUCGGUGGAAGAAUAACUCUUUAGGUAAUGUGCUUUGUACGGCGGUUGCAUAAUCAGUCAAGUCAACUUUGUACAGCGGUUGCAUUGCAUGUGAACGCUUGAAUCCAACUAGUAGCAGUGGAAGAGAGAGUCGCAGGGAACGAAUGAAAAAAUUCUGCUUGUCUCUGCUAUAUGGGGUUCUACCCGCUGAAAUUUGGUACUUCAUCUAAGAUACUGCUAACGCUCUGAAUGCGAUAUAAACUCGCCGUAUGAAUCUUUUGACGUAUUGAUCUUCUUCUUCUAUUAGAUCAAUAGACAAAGAGAAAUCUUGGGAUUGUUACCUUCAAGAAAUUAAUGCAUAGAAUUCUAUCUUUUUUUUGUGGAAGUCAGCAGACUUUUGACGACGUUUUACUAAUCUUAACCCCGUGAGAACUCUCAAAAGCCGGCAACUUUUGAAGGUCUCACAGGAGACUAAUAUACUAACCACCCAAACCCCCCCAACCCCGAUGUGGGACUUCAACCUCCACAAGGGAGCCUGCCAGACCUAAAGAGACCCCUUAGCCCCUAUAGCUUUUUUAAAUUUUGGCCUCGCUCUGUUUGGAUCCAGGAGUUUUUCAAAUACUAUAAAAAGUUUUAAAAAGUACCCUAAAAAAUAGUUUAAAUUUUUUAAUAUUUAAAAUAUAUUUUAAAAACUCUACUACUCUUAAAUAUUUCAAAAUAUUUUUUAAAAAUAUUUCAAAAUAUAAUCUAAAAAUUCUAUUACAGUAAAAUUUUUCAAAAAAUACUCACAAAAAUAGCUAACCGGCCAAUUUAUAAGCUUGAUUAAGCUUGCCGACCAAUUUUUAUAAGCCAGUUUACAAAACAUCCCGAAAGUGUUAUAGCAAAUUAUAGCAGCUACCAGGCCGGUAAGUGUUAUUGUCAUCACAACUUGACUAACCAUGCAGUGGAGCGGAGGAUUCCUAUCAUUGGCUGUGUUCAAUUUUGUUGACUAGAAUGACAUUUUAGAGACUAUAGGCGCAGUCCAACUAAUGACUGGAAAGGUCUCUUUUGCAUUAAUAUUAGGAAGAUGGAUGGUGGUACCAAGGCAGGCAUGACCUAGUAGUACGUGAGUGUGGGCUUUAGUGGCUUUUAUUUUAAUAGCUAGGGAAAAGCUACUUAUGUAUGUACCGCUUUAUUUUACUUCAACGAGACUCCUGGAGUUGGUCACCACCUUUAACGUGGGGUGGGAGGUCAAGGGUUCAACUCUUGCUUCUAUCAAAAAGUUGUCACUUAAUGUGAUUUUGCUUAAAAUCCAUGUGGGUGCUGUGCAUUCGUAUGGUCCGAUGAUGAUUUAGUCCUCAUCGGUUCCUCGUGAUCCUCUUGGAUCCCUCUCCUAGUAUAGGCUAGAUUAGGAGUAGGAGUAGGAGUAGGUGUAGAUGUAGGUGAUGACAAGUGACCAAAAAAAAAAAAAAAGAGACUCCUUUUCCUUUCCGGACAAAAAAAAAAAAAAAAAAUUAAGGGAUGACCUAGUAAAAGACUUUGAUGGACAAACCAAAAGCUACCGUACAAAUUUUGGAUUCUCAUUCAAGUUUUGUCUUCAUUUUUCCUGGCUGUGUGCAUGGCAGGGUAAAUCUGAAAAGGCACCUGAGAAAAAAAUCAUAAAUGGCUCUAACGUUUGUAUUUAUAAUCAAAAAGUUAUUAGUUUUUCUUUUUUUAAUCAUAAAUGACUUUAAUAACGUUUGUCUUUAUAAUCAAAAAGUUCCAAAAAAUUUUAAAUGCGUUCCAUUCUGGUCGUCAUCACAAGUCAGGACAUAUUCUCGAACAAUAGGCCGUUUACAGGAAUUCUUAUAAAUCGUGCAUUAACACAAUUUUCGCACUAACGAGAUUCAAAUAUACGAUUUUUGUAAGAAAAAAAAAAAGUGAUCCAUCCUUAGCAACUGAUCCGACAUGUGUUGGUAAGCAGAUCACAGCUAGCGGUGGUCCGUCCUUGCCUUUCCUUAACGUUUGUCAAAAAGCUAAUUAAGCAGAUUACUUGCACGAAAUAGGAAAAAAAAAGGUAAGGAAAAUAGCAUAGAAUAUGGAUUGUUCAAGUAGAUCUAUUACAAUCUUUGUCUAGCUCACGAAAAGAAAGUGCUCGGGAAAAGUACGUAAUUAACUAACCUCCCUGAUGAUUGCUAUAAGUAUCGAAUUUUCCCUGUACUCGUCACAUUGGAUUAAAUUGACUUAUCCUUUCUCAAGCAUAUAUUAGAUCAGAGAAAAUAUAUAAUCCCAGAACUGAAUCAUCAAGAACAUUGGAAAUUUGUCAAGCAUUAGAGGAAUUUUUUUUUUAAAGUAGUUUUUAAUUGGCAUUUGAGCCAUUAUUAAUUGUUAUUAUUAUUGACCAUAUAUAUAUAUAUAUAUACAUUUCUUGGAAGGAGGACAUGCACAUUGUUUUAAGUGGUGAGCGGUCACUAUAAAUUUAUUUUAGGUGGGUGCCGUUUUGGUGGCAUUACGACUUGUGUCAUGAGCAGUGCUACAAAACAAAGAGUCUAUGAAGCUUCUGAACCCACUAAAAUAUGUGAGAGAUGAAACGAACAAAUCAAAAACGAAGGGCUGCUAGCGUUCCUUGCCAAUUUUGCAAGGACAAAUGCUAUUUAAUAACCGGAAAUGUAGGUCAAAGAAUUUCCCUGCGAAAUUAUAUGUAGAUUGGUUCAUCAUCAUAAAUGCCAGCCGAUCUUUGGGUAUGAUUAAAAACGGUUAACUGUGGAGUGUGGACCACUCUCCAUCUGAAUAUGAAAAAGAAAAUAAACAAAAGGCAUAAUUCGGCAAAAGAACAAAAAAAAAUAGCCCACUUAUAGCCAUGGGAAAUUUUCUGUUAAGAGUUUAGAGAAUUCAAUGCUCAAGAACUUCAAAUCUGCUGGAGUUUAAUUUCUCAAAAAUUUGAAGCCCUACGUUCGAUAAUUAACGUAUUAAGAAUUUAAGAGCGAAUUUUCUUCUUUUUUUAAAAAAAAUUUUUUUUUUUGCUAAUUAAAAGGUUUUACUUCAAGGGAUAGUAGCAUAAGAAUAAUAAGAGUGUUGUGUUUGAGUUUUUAUUCCACUAAUAAUCGUUUAUUUUGUUGUAUUUGGAUUUUAUUCCAUCAACCUUUGAACAGUUAGUAGAAUAAAAUCCAAACCUAACAAAGAGCAUUCAUUAUAUACACAAAGAGCAUUCAUUAUAUACAAAUGCUUAUAAUUCAUUAAGCAAGAGAGGUUCAGCAAUGCCUACCAUCGAUAUACUUUUUUUUACUUCGAGAUAUAACCUACACCAAAAUUGAGAUUUUAUUCAUAUAUAUAAUAUAUAUAUUAGAAUGCAAUGCAAUAAUUUGAACUCUUGGAAACAAGAAAACCGAAAGAUGAAAUGCAGGGAUAAAAAAGGAUAUAUUAGAGUUACUGACUCUCGAUUCCAGGACUUUUAUGAACUGGAAAAUGUAAAAAAAAAAAAAAAAAAAAAAAAGAAGACAGAGGGACACUUGUGAUAAAUAAUCCGUUGUGAGAGGCACCCCUAAAUCGGUCGGUCUUGAUUACCAUGAGAUUGAAAUGUGGGUCCUAUUUGAAGUGAUCGAAUGACCAUCAAUUGAUUGAUUGUGGCCGUCCAUCACAAAGAAUUAUCUUUGGACCGUCGUAUCGUACCCUAAUAUGCAUCAUAUUAAUUAUAUAUUAACAAUUGCUCCGUCACCACAAUCGACCCCAUUAAGCAUUGGAGCCUCUGCAUGACAGGAUCCAUUACCUAGAUUCAACCCACUAUGAUCGACCCUGCCAACUGUAGCCAAUACAGGACUCAAAUCCCUUUCAUGCACAUUGACCUUGAGGCCAUUUUUCAUGAACAACGUCAAUGACAUCUUUUGCUCCACCCUGUGCCCGGGAGCCACCGUGAGCCGGUGGCGCAACAACACAGCCGCCGCUAUUGAUUUCAUUUGCAAGUAUGCCAAAUCUUUACCCAAACAAAUCCUUGGUCCAGCAUUAAACGCGACGAAUUUAAAUUGGUCAUGGGGUUCGAACUUUUGUCCAUCUUCUGAUAUCCAUCUUUCCGGUCUAAAUUCAAGGCUGUCUUCGCCCCAAACAUACUUCAUUCGCCCGGCGGCGUAUAUUGAAUACGUAACGCUUGAGCCCGCCGGAACAAAUGUACCGUCCGGCAGUAUGUCAUCGGAAAUUACGUGCUUGGAGUCUUGGGGCACGGAUGGAUAGAGCCUGAGCGUCUCGGACAAUGCUGCCUUAAGGUAAGUCAACCGCUCAACCUCUUCAAACACCAGGGGCUCUUCGAGCCACUUUGAAGUGUCACUGCCCCGUGUCCCUAUCAGAACGGUGCAGAGCUCAACCAAGAUUUUCUCCUCCACCCUGGGUUCUGGCCGACCAGCCAGAAGAACCAGCUCAGGGCCACUGAUGACGUGUCGCGUCCAGCUAGGAUGAAAUUGAGUGCCACGUGUUGGAGGAACUUAUCCGUGUAAGAUUCCUUUUUCUUCAUGAACCUGGAUAGUAAAUCGUCAUGAAGGGGCCCACCAUUCUGCUGACUCAGCAAUUCCAGCUUGCGCGUGUUGAUCACGUUGGUCAUGUAGUGGUCCACGUGUUUCAAGCUAUGGGUCAAACUCACUUCCAUUCCGAGCCGGAGCCACUUCUUGAGCUUCCAGAUGGACUCGGGCAAAAUAAACCUUUGCAAAGUGGCUUCUGUGGCUCGAUCAAAAGCCGUAGCGAAGCCGUUCUCCGGUAGCCCAGGAGACAGAGUCUGUGGGUCCUUCCCGAAAGCCAAGCCGCAUAUGUUAUCAAAAGUGAGCCGGAGGAGCAGGUCCUGAAGGUCAACGGGCUUGCCCUCAACUUGAGCCGCUUUAAGAAUCGGCAAAACCUCAGCUUGAUCGCCCGGCUCACCCACCUAGCCAUGGCUUGCCUGAGCGUCCUGGUGGUGAAUUCCAGUGCAGCAGUCUUGCGCUGGAACAGCCACGUGUCGCCGUCGGAGUUGAAGAUCCCCUCACCGAGUAGAUCAUGGAACACGGCUUGCCAGGUGGGACCCUUGGGUAAUUGUCGAACCUAACCUUCAAAAUAUGCUCUAAAUUCCUGGGGUCGCAGGUGACGGUCACGAGGCCUUGCUUCCGGGCUAAAAAUGGAACUGCAAAGAUGCAAGUCUGGUACGUGCCGCCACAUGACCGGAGGUUGUCGGCGAUCCAGUCGUGCAUGCGCUGAGAAUUCUGAAUCAAUCGGGCAGGCUGCCCAAGAUGGGCCACAAUCGUGGGCCCCGCCAGGACCUCGCUAUGAAUCUGAACCAUACAAAAUAAGCAGCUGCAAGUGACAAAACCAUCAUGACCGUCGAUGGAUCCAUCUCAGCUCCUUUUUUCUUUUUUUCCCAAUUCAAUUGCUUCACCAAUUCCGAUUGUAAAAAUGUAAUCCCGCUGUAAUAAGAGAACAAGAAAACCACUUUUAGACAAAAAUAAUAAUGAUGGUAAUUGUCACGUAUGGACAUUUAUUUAGUCACAUCGCUUUUCCUUGCAAGGCUUAAGUUUCGUUUAAUUCGAGUAAAAGGACAAUUAAUUAAUUAAUUAAAAUUCGAAAAAUGAAUAAUCAUAAUGCAAAAACUUGGCAUAGGCCUUCAUUGAAUUUUUUUUUUUUUUUUUAAAAAAAAUGGCAACGACGGUUGAUCAAUUAAAACUUGAAAAACCAACAUCCAGAAUGCAAAAACAGUUCUGAACUUACCAAAGAGUAUAGCUGAGGAUCAGUAAUUGUAGACUCUGAAAAUGACCCCAAACAUGAAAUCCCUUGUCAGAAUGAUUGCUGAAUUGGACGUCCUAUAUGUACUUCUUUAAAAAAUUCUCCGAGGAUUAGAGGAGAAAAAAAAAAGAAAGAAAAGAAAACAAGAAAAUGAGGUUGAGAGAGAAGAAGAGGUGGUGGUGGGGUGGAGAGAAGAAGGAAGGAAAUAUUGAAGUAGAGGUCUGUCUGUGAAUGGCAGAGGGGAAAGAAGAUAAAGUGAUUUAUAGGAAAGCAGGGAAAGGAGAGGCAAUAAAUGAGGGGCCGGACUGUUGUUGAAACUGGGGGGGAUAUAGAGACAUCAUGCAGCAGCAGAGAAGAAGAGAUUUAUGAUUUUAUUAUGUAGCAAUAUUUGUACAAUCAUAAUCAUAAUAUAUAUAUAUGGUAAGUACAGUAGUAUAUUACGCUCAUCUCUGUUUUUUUGUGCUGUGUAAAACGACCUUAAAAGCUUUUGCUAUCUCAACUGUAUAGUUCCACAGCUAAACUAAACAAAACCAGCUUUAAAGCGCCAACAUUAAAUGCCAUCAGGGGUCGUUGGAGGGAAGGGGGAGCCAAAAAUUAAACAGAGCCACGACUCACAAGCCCAAGCGGACACUCAUGUUGAUGAUGCUGAUGCACCUCCCCCUUCUCUUCUUCUUCUUUUCUUUUUUUUUUUUGUUUUUUUUCUGUUGCAACUUAUAUGGUGUAGUGCAAGUCUAUUUCAAAGACUUGGCCCAAAUACCACAUGUAUUUAUCACAAAAGAGAUAUCACUCUCACCGCCCCGCAGCCCCAUUGGAAGCAAUCUGUCAUGCCAAUGCAAAAGUCACUACAUGUAGUAGUAGGGGGAUUAAAUGAUGUUUUAGCGCCCUAAGUCUUGGACUAGUUUCAAUUUGUCCUUUAUCUUUCAAUGUUAACGUAUUUAGGCACCCUGUAUUUUAUAUAUGCUUGUUCAAUUAGGUCUCUCAUCUUUCAAUAGUUAUGCGUGUGCGUGCGUGCGUGCGCGUGUGUAUUUUGCUUCUUUUUUUUUUAAUAGUCUUAACUCUUAAGACAUAAACAAAGAAAAAGAAAGAAGAAGAGGAGGCGGGGUGGCGUGCUUUUAUUAAAAUAACGAUAAAAAAAAGCCUAACUGCUUGACUGUAUUUCGUUUGCAAUCCUUUAUAAUUUCACGUUUCAAAAAUUUUUACACUUUAGUAGUCAUUAAUUGUCCUCAAAUUAGCACUAAUUAAAUUUAAAAUAUUGAAAUGAGAAUUACAAAAGCACGAUCUAUCCCGAUUGUGAGAGAAUAACAAUCGUAUGAGUGAAGUAUAUACAAGGGACUGAAAUGAUGCUAGCACUAAAAUUCAGGGGCCAAACAUGAAAUUGCCCCAUGGAGUAUGUUACACGAUGAUUUUAUAAUACUCCUAGAAUGUUUGGUUUUUUUUUAUUAUUAUUAUUAUAUUCCUCUAUCUUAAAAAUGCCGUGCUCACCUAAUUUGGCUGGAAGAGCCCCUUAAAUUCCAGCAUUAAAUGUAGGAGAAAAGGUUAAAUGGAUUAGUUGAGAAAGUGUAUGAAGACCUAGGCGCAAAACACGUAGAGAGGAAAAACACAACAAAGAGAAAUAGUUUCUCUUUUUGCUGGAGCUGAUGAUGCAAACAGUUAAUUUCUUUGACUUUGAUUUCCUUCACUUUCGGGGUCGGCAAAAAAAAAAAAAGUGUUAUAGAUAAUAAUAACAUUUCCAUAUUUAAUACAUAUAUAUAUAUAUACUUUUACAAAGUUAAUGAAUAGGCCCCCAAAUCUGGUUUUAGGUUUCAUUCUUGCUUACGGUUCAGAAACUUAACAUGUGAUGUGAGAAGGACUUAAAGGUCUGGUGACCGCCUCACCUACGUUUUAAGGCUAUUAAACCCUCCUCUUCUACUUGCAAAGGCUUUUAAGGAUUUGCAUAAGUUGAGCCUAAUGUUCGGUUCAGUUUUGGAAGGUUAUGAUUUGCUUUUUCUCCCUUAUUAAUCUCAUCAUGUAUUCUCUUCCUCAUAUAUUUUUGUUGUUUUUCAACUUCUUAAAGCCUUUUAUUGUCACCUUUUAAUGAGCGAGUAGUUGUAACUUACAAAACCCUCAUGUCUUUGUUCAGUCACUACUGUUUUUCUUGUUCUUCGUCUUCAUCAGUAAUAAUUACUAUGGUAAAUAACCAAACAAUAAUGACCCGUAAUUUCUGUUCUGUAGUACUUAAUUUUUUUUUUUUUUGUAACAUUUUGCAAAACGGAUAGCUUAAGCAAUUUCAAAGAGAAGACCGCUUACUAGUUGUCUUGGAAAUCCAAUUAAAGUUUGAUACGUACUGACGUUAUAUGGCACUUCAACUUUCUGCUUUUAACGUUUUUGACUGUAUUAAUUAUGAAGAAUCCAAAAAUUUUGUCAUUCAAAUACCAGGUUGGGUAGCAUCAUAUUAUAUGGGGCUGUCAUGUUAGUGCUUCAAAGCUAAAGCUGCCAAAUUUGGUUUCAAAUUAAGAGUUUUUGUGUGAUUAAUCAAGGAACAAUAAUAAGUUAUGAAUUGGUGUUAAAAUUUAAAAAAAAAAAAAAAAAAAAAACCCUCCUCUCAUGUAUUCUUGGUAGACACAAUUUCACAUACCAUACUAGAGUUGAUGCGCUGCUCUUCUUACCCUUCGCCACAUUUGUGACGGUUACCAAUUUCACAUCCUAAUUAAUUUACCCCUACUAGUUCUAAUCAGUAGAGUUGGCUAAUGACAUUGGAACAGCCAGUAGAGCAGUCCCAUCAUCAAGAUGCAUAGCUGAUGCCAAACCAAUCAUUGAGAGUUUGUAUGCCAUGCAGCAGCAGCCGCCUUGAAUCUUGAUUUGCACUUAAGAGCACCAAUUCACAAAGGGGUCCGUCUGAAGCAACUUCUUGAGUUGAAUCUUGAUUAAAAUCGCGUCUGUUGAUGAUACUUACAGGUUUUUUUUUCUUGAUUUUCAAUGAAAUUUUCUUCCAGUCCAAUGUUUGGUAAUCGAUGCAAGAGUCGGCCCCAGGAAUUCAGAUUAUUGGCUUUCUUCCAUCAAUUGAUUAUGAAUGUUUAAUGACCUCUACAAUCUUACAUUCUUACCUAACCAGCACACAAAUCUAUAAUUAUGCUCAACACCUAAAGUUAGUCCCUUUGGAUCAAUACUUAUAGAUCGAUGCAAGAGUCGGCCCCAGGAAUUCAGAUUAUUGGCUUUCUUCCAUCAAUUGAUUAUGAAUGUUUAAUGACCUCUACAAUCUUACAUUCUUACCUAACCAGCACACAAAUCUAUAAUUAUGCUCAACACCUAAAGUUAGUCCCUUUGGAUCAAUACUUAUAGAGUAGGGUCUUCCUAAGUAAACAACGUGUGGAAGUAAGUGAUAAGCAAUCACCUCCCUGUAAAUCUAUCAUUUUUCUUUUGGUUCUCGUUAAAUUUAUAUUUAAGGUGGGUAUUAAAUUACAAUAAUUAGUGGAUUUUCUUUCUGAUCAUUAUUGCUUAACCCUAGGGAGAAAGAAAACCCUAGGGGGGUUUAGGCGCAUUUAACCCUAAAUAAAUUUUAAAAAAAAAAAGGAUAGAAACAAUACACUACAAAACAGUUCAAUUUUGGUGUUAGUUUGAUGAACUAAAGCAUUACUUUUACGUCCCGGUUGAGCUUCAGGUGAAGGGGUCCCUUCAAUUAAUAAAAUCGAAAUUUCUCAAUGCAUAGGUAGGGCAGGAUGAUGAGCAAUCAAAUUGAGGGGGCUACGAAUGUGGGAUAUGAAGAAAAUAUUCCAUCUAACUUCUAAGCUUUCUUCAAUGAUGUUUCAUAUUUUGGGACCAAAUUGGCAUUUAUCUAUUAUUGAUUGUGUAAUCGCUUGCCCAUUUCUGAGGCUAUAAAUGAGUCUUGAAUUUGGUUGUAGACCAUGUAAUAUCGGUGGCAAAUCAAAUUAUUAUCCAACACACACACACACACACACACACAUAUAUAUAUAUACUUCAAUCAUUUCAGUGUCGAUAAGUAAGUAUAUUACACAGUUCAGUUUUACUUUACACUCAAUCAUAUAUUUUCUUACCAGCAAAACAAAAGGCAUUGGAAAAAAGUUCUAGGUGAAAAACAGCACUUAAAAAAGUGUCUAAGUACACUAUCAAUUGCUUGGCUGGCUCUUCUACAUAUAAUAUAAAACAGUAGACUAGAUAAUCUCUCUAUAAGUUCCAAUUUCCAUAGUCUUCAUUGACUCAACUUACAUGAAUUUAUGUAAUUGAAAUGGCAACGUAUUUCAGAAAACAAAAUUCAGAUCAAACAGCGGUGGGCAAGGGCUGUUCGUGCACAGCCUGCCUCCCUUCUCUAUCAAUCACAAAACAAAAGGGGCAGUCAUACCAUAACGUGGCUUGGUAGAAAGUGUACACUUGUUGCCAAAGGAACAAAAAAUUUUUUGUUCUUUGGGGAGGGACCUAUCUGGAGGCUGCAAACGAGUCGAAUCGAGUCGAGUUUUGAGCUAAUCGAGCCGAGUCUCAACUAAAUUUUACCGAGCUCGAGCUCGACGAGCCAGCAAUUUUCGAGCUCGAGCUCGAGCUCAAAAAAAAUAAAAAAAUAAUUAUUUUAUUUUUAAAAAAAUAAGUAAAAUAAUAUUUUUUUUCUUAAUAAAUAAUAAAAUAUUAAGGAUAUAUACGUAAUUUUACUAUGAAUAAAAUAAAAAAAAAAAAUAUAUAUAUGUAAUAUACAUAAUUAUAUAUAUAUAUAUACUCAAACUCGCGAGCCGGCUCGUGAGCUAACGAGCUUAAUAUUUUGAGUUCGACUUCGAGCUCGAGUUUGACUCGAGUCGGCUUGAGCUCGACUCGAACUCGAUUAAUAUCAAGCUCGACUCGAGCUUGACUCGAGCCGCUCGCGAGCGGUUCGAUUCGUUUGCAGCUCUAUCUGGGAUGGAUGUUGAGCUUUCUGUUUGCAUCACAUCUAUCCAUCGACCAUUGUCCAAGCAUUUACUCAAGAAGUUAGCGAGUCCUCAGAUUUGGUGCUGGGCUGAGCCCAUGAUUCAUCUGAUCAACCUUUUGUACAUAUCCAUACAUUCUCUGAGAGUGUAUGAUCUUGAAUUUGAAGGCAAUGAGCAAAUUUUUUUCAGACACCCAAAUGAGCGAGUGGCUUCUGAAUUUUGUCCAUUAGAAUGCACACUGGUUAUUCAUGAGGAGGGUCCACCAAAAAAAAAAAGAUACAUGUACAAUUGUUUGGUAUACUUUAGCCUAGCCCAUAUGUCACUUGCCAAUUGCAGAUUUCCCCUUAGGAAAGACGCUACUGCAUCAUACUGCUGCAUAUCUAUUUCAGACUCGGACCGGAUAUCGACUUGAUCAAACUCAGGAAUCAGGGGUUCGACCGGAUUCGAUCAAGGUUGAAUCAGAUGACGUUAUAAAUAAAAAUUAUUUAAAAAGUAAAAUAUUGUAUGUAAAAUAUCUAAAAACAUAUUAAUAUUAAUAAAGGUAUAUUCAUAUAUAUAUAUUUGAUGUUUUAAAUAUAUUUAACAAGAAAAUACAAAAAAUUUGAGGUAUAAAGUAUGAAAUAUUUGAGGUAUAUUAAUAAUUUUUAACAACUUAGGAGUCAAAACAUAAUAUUGAAAAUGCUUGAUCUUUUUUUAAAUAGGCUUUGACUAAACCGGUUCUUCCGAUUUUUUCCUGUUAAACUCGAUUUUUGACCAGAUUUGAUCAAGUUUUUACCCAUGCGAUUUUUUAGAAUAACUCGGACCUAACACUUAGCCGGUAUCGACUUGGUCAAACUCAGGAAUCAGGGUUAAUGGAUUCGAUCGGAUUCGAUCAGGGUUGAACCGGAUGACAUCAUAAAGUAAAAUUAUUUUAAAAAUAAAAUAUUGUAUGUAAAAUAUCUAAGAGCAUGUUAAUAUUAAUAAAUGUAUAUUCAUAUAUAUUUGAUGUUUCAAAUAUCUUUAACAAGAAAAUACAAAGAAAUUAGAACGAUUAAGUAGCAAUUUAUAUUAUUUAAUGAACAUUAACAAGUUUAGAAUUAAAAUUAUGGACUUGAUUGAAAAAUAACAUCAGAUUUUAGGAUAACAUUUAUAAAGUAUGAAAUAUUUGAGGUAUAUUAAUAAUUUUUAACAACUUAGGGGUCAAAAUAUAAUAUUAAAAAUAUUUGACCUUUUUUGAAAAAAAAGGCUUUGACUGAGCCCGUUCUUUCACUUUUUUCUGGUCAAAAAUCGGGUUUGAUCGAGUUUUUACUCAUGCAUUUUUAAAAACUCGGACCGAACACUUAGCUGUUUUCAAUUCGACCGGCCGGUCCGUUUAAAAACACAUGUGUAUAAUGAAUGAGUCACGCCUCUUUAAUUAAUUAGACUUUGGGGAGGUGAUUAGCGUGUGAACAAUGAUAUUUUUUCAGUGUUUUGCAAUUCAAAGACGAACAUGGAGUCUCGAUAAACGCUGAAUUCGUGCUUAUUAUUAAAUAAAUAAUUGAUCACCCCCAACUUUUGUCAAACAUAAAUCUUCCAAAGAUAACAGUUGAUCAAUAUGACGUUUUGCCAACAAAACUUGUAAACUGCUAAUUGGUUGCUAAAAGGUCUUGACUUUUAAACCGCACGUUUCCACGAAAGAAAAAUAAGAGUCUACUUUCAUAAGAAACAAAAUUGCGUAUGCAUUAGGACCCAAAAAAAAAAAAAAGGAAUCAGCAGACGCUUUGAUUGGGUCAAGUACCAAACAACAUGCUGGUCUCUAAUGGACAAUGGAUAUGUGAUGCAGACAAAUUCAUCGCUAUCGCACAAAUGCUUCCAAUGUUGUUACGAGUCUUAUAACACAUGCUACGGAAUUAGUCCCCAACCCAGCUUCACGUUACUGUUACUCAAGUGAUCAUAAAUUUCUGAUUCGACUUUCAAACCCAGUCCCUUAAUUCCUUUUUAUUUGAAACACAAAAAAAAAGGAAAGAAAAAUGGUAAUGGAUUUGCAGAAGAUGAAUAUCAAAAACUUUAACCUUAGAUAUACUACUGAUAAACGCAAAGAAGUUGUUGAUUUAAACUCUGUAAUGGAUAGUCUCAUUUCCGGAGGAUAAACAUAAGACUUUUUGUCCUAAAGGAAUACACUCCAAUGACAUCUGAAAGAAGCAGCACAGUAAUGACCAACAAUGCAGUGUCCAUAUAUGGUACAGUACAACAGAGAAGGAAUCACAGCUGCUGUAUUGACAUAAUUUCAGAUGCAUCAACUUGUAAAUACAGGGCUUAAUUAAGUGCAAACAGUAUUUACAAACGAAUAUGCUAACUAAGAACUAUUUUACAUUUGAUACUAAAAUCCCCAAACCGAACUCUGCCAAACCUCAACAAAUUGCUGGUCCUUCCUGGUGACGAACAUUUUGUUACCCCCGAAAGCCAAGUUUGUUAUCCUGCUACCACCCAUAUCUUUUGCUCUUCCCAUGGAGUUCUUCCUAAAGACUCUGUCCUCUACUCUUCCAUUUUCACCCUUUAUAGAAGAACCAGUCAGAACUUCAGACCACAGCUCAAUGUUUCCUCCUUUGCUACAGAACACUUGAUUCCAUGGCUUUCAAUUUUACACCCUGAACCUUCCUUCUUUCCAUUGAUCACCUUUCUCACAUCUCCUAGACAAACCCACGAAUUCUCAGCAGCGCCAAUACUCCUGAAAUCAGUGAAAAACUUCACCAGAAUUCACACCAACCUUAAACAGGGCUGACAGACUAUCUGACGCUGUGACAUCAGAAAAGCAAUCAACCUUUUCCUUGACUUCCCAAACAACAUUUCCAGACCUCAUAUCCCAAAACCUAAUAUUCCCUACCACACCAGCAGGACCACUGUGGGAGCCAGAAGCCAUCAGCAAAUUAUGACUAGAAAUCCAUUGCAGCUUUGUUGCUGGAAUAGCAGAAUCCAGCUCAGCACCAAAAAUUUCAUAAUGACCAAUGGUGGUAACAGGCCUAAAACCAUCGUUAAUAUCAUAAACCAUAACGCAAUUGGAAUUUCUCCUACCAGACUCGAAACUUGUAAAUAAGUAUUCCGGUGAUGAACCAAUUGCCUGCACAGUCGAAGAAGACCUUGUCACAUUUUCCCAGUUCAAAGUUUCCUUCACAAUACCCUUGUCAAGGUCAAUGAUCUGCAACCCUGAGAAGUCCGUGGCACCAGCCGCUACUGUUUUGGGGGACAAUGCCAAUAGCGAAUCGAUGGCUGUAAAUUGAGUCAAAAUGGUUGAUUUUCUCUGCAAUGACCAAUCAAAAGAAGUGAUUUUACAACCAUUUGCCACAUGAACUGAUCCAAAUUGGGUUGUUGAGAUAGUUGAAGGCGAGUCCCUGCCACUCAAGGGUAAAAUCGUGGAUUUAUCAACAUUAAAGGCUUCAAACAGAGAAGGAUUUGAUUGAGAAUUGAUGAGAAGAUUCUCAAUACCGUAGAAUCUGGACUCAAAGAUUAGGUCUUGAACAUCAAAGGCUUUAGCUUUUGAUGGAAGAUUUCCGGUUCUUAGAAGGGAAAGGAGAAUAGAGAAAAGCUCUGGAUCUCUGUCAAUAAAAGGGAUUGUACCCUGCGAAUUGGACAAUUUGGAGAAAAGAGAUUUGGAACCAGCUAAAGCUAGGGUUUGUCGUGUGGUUUGGAAAAUCUGACCACCCACAUCAAUUGUGAUCACAUUAGAGAUUGAAUCUCUGGAGUUCUGGUAGAAGCCAUCCAAAUGAGGCUUGGGUCCUGCAAAAGGCGGCAUUUUUGGAGCUUCCACCCUCUGAGUUAUACUUUCUUCUACAGAAGUUUCAAGAAAUCUCAAAUUCAAGGAAGAUUAACAACAAAACUUGAAAACUCUCAACCCGAAUCUGCAAAAAGACUCAAUCUUGGGACAAUUAGAGAUGAUUGAAUGACGGGAAAAGCAAAAAUUCUCAAGAAAAAUGGAAUAAGGAGGAAAAAAUCUUUGUAAAAGCAAUUGAAGAAUAACUGCUUUCUCCAAGCUUCGAUUAUUAUGCUCGAUAGUUUAGCAAAGAGGCACUGCAGAAGAAAGAGCGGCGGAACCAGUAUAGCGAGAUGUAAAGAGGUUGGACAGAGAUUGAUGAUGGACGGCCGAAGAACAGGCAGGUGUUGAUUUUUGUAGGGGUUGCAGCGGUCUACCAUUCUAGAGGGUCAAAUAGGUGAUGGUUGUCAAGAAAGUCGAGGAAAGGGGAGAAAUUGAAUAUUUGACCGUAGAAAUAUAAAAUGCUGGUCAUAGCAGUCCAGGAUGGACCAUACCUCUGGUUCCGCAAGACUUUGAAGUUUGAAUGGAAAAGUACUCUGAUAUCUAUUUGUCAGAGUGCGUUAGUGGUUAGAACCUUCUAAAGGAGCAAAAGAAGUCGCGCUUAUUUUUAUUUUCUUUUGUCCUUUCAUUUUUGGAAACUUCUCAGCUGGGGUCGAUAAACAUGAAGAAAACUACAUGUAUGAAAAGCUAUUGAGAACGAAAAAUUGAAGGUACCACCUGAAUCUGGUCCAUCUACGAAACAUAUAAUGAUGAAAGCAUAUUAUUUUUUUCUCAUUUUUCUUUUUUUGGUAUAUAAUCCACAUGUUGUAAAAUUCUGCUCCAACAAACAAACAAAUAUGAGAGGUCAAGAGCAUGAUCGUCUAAAUAGGCAAAGUCAAUCUCAAUUCUAGUUUGUGAAUACAAACAAGAGCUGCAAAAAUAUGUUGAGAAAUUCUAUAUUAGUAUGUUUGAAGACUUCUCCUCUUAGAGUAUAUAGGCAAGUAAUAGAAUCUUGGAUUGAGGAUAUUUAAUUUAUUAUCAUUCUACCCAGUCACUACGUUCCAGUUUCUCCUUCAAUUACAUAUUUCCAUUUCUUUUUUUCUUUUCUCUAAAUCAGUCAAUGAGUUCGUGAGAGUCAAUUGCGACUGCGAAUAGCUAUUUUGCACUUGAACAAAUUAUUUUAUUUGGCUUCGUUUUGAAUCCCCACAUACAGAAAGCCCUGUUUGGUUCUGCCCAGAUUAUUUCAAGAAGAGUGCAAUUUCUUGUCAUUUAAACCGGAAUUCAUAUCGGUCCGAGCUUUCCUUGACAGUCAUGAGACGGCUUGUACUGGAUAUGCGAGACAUUUUUAUCUGUCAGUUCUGUACAAGGUGUAAAUUUUUAACCUUUCUAUAUAUGUCUCUUUCCCACAAAAGAAAAUUUACAGACUUUACACCUACACUGGCUUCUUAGAGCAUAAUUGCACUAAAGUCGCACACUCUUGCUACUUAAUUGUCCGGAGCCAAUUUUGUGUCUGCCCUUGCAAAUAUUACUGUCAACAGUUCACAAAUGCCGGCCAUGGUGAGGCAUCGCAUGGUGCCGGCUUUAACUCAUCUCUCGUAUAUGGUCAAGCACAGUAAGAUUGAUUUACAAAGAGAACAUUGUCAACUUGUUGACACCCAAACAAAAGAAAAUUGACAGUGUCAAAUUGCAUCAACUAUAAUAUGAUUUAAAAUUUGGAUCUUGCAACGUGACGAGCCAAUUAAUUCUAGGGUCGAUGAUGUUAUUCAGGGUAAAAUACAAACCCCAAGAGUCCAAACAGUUGGCAUGAGCGCUUGGAACAAGCAACUCACCUAAUGUCGGCACAAGUCCAGGCAACUGAGGAACUCAAUGAUUAUCCAUCGAGACUGCUUCAGUAACUGAUGCGCUAGGACAAGAAUUGGCAGCCUCACUUCCAUUCUGCAAAUAAAAUGAAACAUGAAACUGGAGUGACGUUGCAAUUUAGUGCAGGGUCCGUUGCAACUCACGCAGUUUAUGCAACCAUGUAUUGGACGCUAACAAAACUGAAGUCAAAACCUGACAGGAUAUGGAGCUUGACGAACAUAUUCAGGUAAGCACAGUAGUAUCCUCCAAAGUUUCCAGAUGAAAUAAGAUUAGAACACUACGCCAAACGAAGAGAGAAACACAAGAUUAAACUGAAGCUGUUAUGUCGUCAUCAUCAUGGGCUGCAUUAAAACAACUGUUCCAUCCAUAGCUUAUUAUAUUACAUAUCAAAAAGGAAAAGCCAAAUAUCUAGAUCAUGUUAAUUACUAUUAUGAAUCUGCUUUAGGUAGAGGAUAAGGAGAUGCAACAUCCUCACUAAAUCUUAAUAUUACCUCACCUUCACUCGUUUCUACGGUCAGAAAUGUGCAAAAAACAGCCUCCAUUUUUUGGU
rnacentral:lncRNA from 1 species